rnacentral:lncRNA from 1 species
AUAUAUAUAUAUAUAUAUAUAUAUAUAUAUAGAGUGAGGCCUACUAUGCUAUCGGAAGCACGGAGCUUCCGUGCUUCCAGCUCGUUUUCGAUGUUGCGACUUUCAAAUCGUCGAUUGGCUCGUUAAACUUGAUCUAGAGUAUUUGAAAUCCUAGAAAAUAAAUUUUAUUAUUUUUCGAUAUCAUUUGCCUAGUGAUCGAAUGGGCUCAAAAUCAACAAAUUCAAUGACCGUAGUGAGCCGUUUGCAAGUUUAACGGUGUAGAAAUAUUCAAAUCACAGUGAAAUUUUGAUAGAAAUUCUUUAUACUAUAUAAAACAAGAUUUAUAUCUUUGAUUUAAAAUUUUAAUAUCAUAUUAUUAUAUAUUUGUAAGAUUUUUAUUUUCAGCCGUUGAUUUUGAGCCUUCGUUCACUAGGCAAUGAUAUCGUUAAAAUCAUAAAUUUAUUUUCUAGGUAAUUCAAAUACUCUAGAUCAAGUUUAACGGAGGCGAUCGACGAUUUGAAAGUCGCAACAUCGAAAACGAGCUGGAAGCACGGAAGGCUAUGUGAUUCCAAUAGCAUAGUAGCCUCACUCAUUUAGUAUAUAUAUAUAUAUAUAUAUAUAUAUAUAUAUAUAUAUAUAUAUAUAUAUUUUUGAGCUUUUCGAGCCUAAUUCGAAUGAGCCGAGUAAUACUCAAGCUCGGCUUGAAAUGAAUUUCGAGCCUUUUUUUUGUUCAAGCUCGGCUCAUUUAAUUUCGAGUCGAGCUCGAGCGAGCCAAAUAUCGAGUCGAACGCGAGUCAAACGCGAGCCGGCUCGCUCAUUUGCCAGCCCUAGUGGUAUUUGAAGUUUUUCCUAAAACUUAUAUACAUGGGUACUAUGAGUACCCGUGAGUUACCCAAAAUGCCCAUAAUUUAACGAAUAUUUGCCUAUUUUAUCCAUAAUUUUUUGGAUGAGAAAAAUUUAUAUUCAUAUCUGUAAAUUUACGAAUAACCUAUGAAUAUUCACGAGUACGGGUUGAGAUUCUCUUGUUAAAUAGAAUCUGGGUACCAAACCCAAGUGACUAAAAAGAUUCUAAUAUCAAAAUCAUUAGUCAAAUGAGAUUUGAAAAGUUAGUCAACAUUUUACCGGUAAAAUCUUUGAAAUUAUAAGGAUUACCAAUCAAGAUUGCGAGACAAAGAGAGCAAAUUAGAUAUUACUAGAUUUCAUACUUGUUUGAUCCCGCCGUACGUGUAGCAAGAUUUAAUAAAACUUUUUUUUUGGGAAAACUUCAAAAACCGUUCUGUGGUUUCGUAGUUUCUCACUUUGCUCCCUGUGAUUUAAAAUGUAUCAAAUUGCCCCCCUGUGAUUUCUUUUUUAUUUUUUCGGUAGCUUUUUCGUUAAUAUUUCAUUAAAUUAUAUAUAAAAAACUUCAGAUACCCAUAUAGAUUUAUCAAAUAUUUACUUUAGUACCCUUUAAUUUUAACUUUAUCACUGAUUUAAGAAAAAAAAAAUAAUGAAAUUGAUAAGAAAAAGAGAAAAAAGAAACCACAGGAGGGCAAAUUGAUACAUUUUAAACCACAGGGGGGCAAAGUGAGAAUCUAUGAAACCACGGGGGGUUUUUUAAAGUUUUUCUUUUUUUUUUUUUUUUUUUUUGUGCUGAGUGUUGGUACUAGGAGAAAUAUUAUAUUAAUUUAUCUCUAAUAAUUUUUUGCACCGACAAAAUCACAGGUAUGAAACCAGAGCUUCACGUGCUUUUAUUAAGAAAUUUUUUUUUUUCUUUUGUUGAAAUUAGGAGCGGAAGCUGAAAGCUGCCAAACAAGCCAUCAAGAAGAUGCCAUCCCAAAUUGACUCACACCAUUUUGCUUUAAUUACGUUGCCUAACCUUCUAAGAAUUUGACCUCCAAACUACCACAUCACUACAUGCCAUAUUAAUCUCCCAUCUGUGUAAGCUUCCCAAAGUGAGAAAAGCAACUUGAACAAGAGGAAUUCGGCUACUAUCCUUUCAGAAGGACAGAGACCUUCAUCCUUUUAAGUUGAUUUAGACGAUAGAUAUAUCAAAUCGAUAAUCGAAACAGUUAAAGUUGAUAUAGAGUAUCUAAAGUAUCUAGAAACUAAAUUUUAUAAAAUUUGAAAAAUUAUUUAAAUAGUGAUCAAAGGAUCACAAAAUCAGCAGUAUUUUGACGGCUUAUAUGAGCUGUUUGUGUGUUUAACGGUGGAGAACAAUCUGAACAGCUUGAAUUCUUCUUUUUUUUUUUUUUUUUUUGAGAGAUAGGUAGCACGCUUGAAUUCUUUUUUUUUUUUUUUCUUUUGAGAAAUAGGUAGCACGCUACCUGUUUCAUUUAUUUUAUUUAGAAAUAAACUUAACUAGAAAUGUGAAUCAACUAGGAUUCGAACUUGGGUUUCGGAUACCAAGCACCAAGCCUUUUGCCACUUGCUCUAGGGACGGUCGGUGAACAGCUUGAAUUCUUAAUAAAAAAUUUUUUUAUAUUAUUUAGAUAAUGUUUGAUAACUCCGAUUAUGAAUUAAAAAAGUCUAGCAUCUAUUUUUACAAGGUUAUUUAUUUUUGACCAUUUAUAUUUUCGACUCUUCAAAGAACUUGAUAACGAAUUUUAAAAUUUGUGAAAUUUAGUUUCUGAACGUUAUAAAUAUUUUAGAUCAACUUUAACAGUUUCGAUCAUCGAUUCAAAAUUUCUAUUAUUUAAAAUGAGUUAGAAGGACGAAGGCCUCCGUCGAAGAGUAGCUGAACUUGAACAAGCUCUCUCUCGCUCUCUUUCUAAACCACUUUCUCUCUCUCACAAGGUGCUUCAAAACUAAAAGCAAUGGGUCCCCCCAACCCAUCCCUUGAAUUAAAGCUUUUAAUCACAACCACAAACAACAGGAGCUAAACAUAUUCAUUGGGUCAACUACAAAGACUGAACCAAGGCAAUCCACCAACUACAAGAAUUAAGGGCUUUUUUUGCAAAUAGCGUCCUAACUAAUUUUUUUUUUAAAAUUGGCCGUAUCAAAAAUUUAUUUGCAAAAAUGGCUCUGGUCCCACCACGUCAGCGCCACAUCAGCGUCACGCGGGCGAGGCUGGGCCAUGUGUUUAAGUUGAACACGGUGAAUCAUUCACCGUGUUCAAUAUAAGAUUUUGUAUUAGACACGGUGAAUGAUUCGGUGAAUGAUUCACCGUGUCCAAUACAAAAUGGUUAACUGCGAGAUAUUUGUAUUGGACACGGUGAAUCAUUCACCGUGUCCAAUACAAAUAAUUGAACACGGUAAAUGAUUCACCGUGUCCAAUACAAACACCCACAACUUAGUCAUUUUUGGUUAAGUUAGAGGUAUUUGUAUUGGACACGGUGAAUCAUUCACCGUGUCCAAUACAAAAACCUUAUAUUGAACACGGUGAACGGUUCACCGUGUUCAACUUAAACACAUGGCCCAGCCCUGCCCGCGUGGCGCUGACGUGGCGCUUGCGUUGCGGGGCCAGGGCCAUUUUUACAAAUAAAAUUUUGACAGGGCCAAUUUUAAAAAUAAAAUUUAUCAGGGGUCUAUUUGCAAAAAAAGCCCAAGAAUUAAAUGAGAUCUCCCCCUGUGUGAGCUCCAGUCCCACAAGCCAUAAACCCAGAGCCAUACACAAAUUGUUUUCCCCUUUGAAAAAAAUUCUUCAUAGGAAGAGAAAGCUAAGGCACUAUUUUCUCCUGGAAAAAUGGGGACCGAAAUGAAGAUCGCGAGGAGCGUCAGCCAGAUCGAGCCGCAGAAGUUCGCCUUCGGGCUAGUCCUGGGUUGCCUUCUAUGCUCACUGACAUAUGUUUCAGUGUUCAAGUUCGACGUAGUUUCCUUGCGUAAGUUCAUCAAUCUUUCGAGGCUCAAUUUUGCGGCUAUGUCGCCUUAGCAGUUUUUAUUCUUACACUUCUUGCUGUUCUGCAGUGAAUUCCGCAUCACCAUCUUCAUUAACUGCACCUCCUUUCGAAAAUAAUGUUACUUCGCAGCAGUUAGGUAAGAGAACAGGGUCUUUGAGAAAGAAAGGAUAAUGUGGGUGGCAAAAUAAGUGGAAAAUAAGCUACAAAUCAUGUAGAUCAUGCUGAUCUUGCAUCUUUCAGGUAGGGGAUUGAAAAAUGUGACACUAGAAAGCGACAAGAAUGAGGCUUUUGUGAUGAUAUGGAAUUCCUCAUCAUCAUCAUCAAGUUUAGCUGCAGAUCCUUCAAAUAGUACUCAACAACAAGGUACCCUUCCUUUCAAAAUUUCAAGCCACUUUUUAAAAUUCAAAUUAGUAUUUUACAGUGAAGAGCACUUUCCUUUGUCCAUUACACAGAUUUGAAGGGCGCGGGGCAAGAAAUUAGCCUACAAUGUGAACUUUGUGGGAAGGAAAAUGGCACUACUACUAUUACUACCACUGCUAACAGCAGUGGUUCCGACAAAAUUGAUUCAAUUCAGAAGACAGCUGCAUUCGAAGCAAUGAAAACAGGUAGUGUAGUAUUCAGUCUUUCGUUAUUGGUAAAUCGGAGCAAUCGUGACUCAGAGUAUUCACUUUCAUUUGCCAUAUUUGCUCUUAUGCCUCUUCUUCUGUUUCCUUUCUUUUGUUGGAAGAUGAAAGGAGAAACGAUUUGAAUCCCGCGAAGAAGCCGAUGUGCGAUUUUUCGAACAGAAGAAUAGAUCGGUGCGAGAUCGAAGGUGAUGUGAGAAUCUUGGGGAGAAACUCAUCCAUUUUCUUAGUUAAUUCGCGGGAAACAGAUGGUCCGUAUCGAAACGAAACAUGGUGGAUCAAACCUUAUCCUCGCAAGACGGAUACAAAUGCGAUGAGUAAUGUGAAGGAAUUGACAUUGAAAUCAUUGGAGCCUUUCGAGGAGGCCCCUCAAUGCACCGAUCAUCACGACGUGCCCGCCGUCGUUUUCUCGGUUCGUGGUUACACCGGAAAUUUCUUCCACGCAUUCACCGACGUGUUCGUCCCUCUCUUUGAGACAUCUCACGAAUUCAACGGGGAGGUCCGGUUCCUCAUCACGGAGUUUAGAGCUUGGUGGAUCAACCGGUUCCUUCCGAUAUUCAAAAGUCUCUCGCGGUACGAUAUGAUCGACCUCGAUAACGACGAUAGAGUCCUUUGCUUUCCGCGCGCUAUCGUCGGUUUGAAAAGCCACGGUGACUUCAGUAUCGACCCUUCUCCGUCGCCCGAGGGCUAUUCAAUGGUCGACUUUUCGAGAUUCAUGAGGAGUGCGUAUUCACUCAAGAGAGAUUCGGUGGCGGUCGGAACUAGAAGGCCAAGGUUACUGAUCAUCUCAAGGGAGAGAACAAGAAAAUUCGCGAACUUAAAGGAUGUAAUUCACUUGGCAGAGAAAAUGGGCUACGAAGUAGUGGUAUCGGAGGCUAACAUAGAUCUAGCUCAAUUCUCGCAAGUUGUGAACUCGUGCGACGUGAUGAUGGGUGUCCACGGGGCGGGCCUGACGAACAUCGUCUUCCUCCCGACGAACGCAGUUUUGAUCCAGAUAGUCCCUUGGGGGGGACUGAAUUGGAUUGCGAGGACUUACUUCGACAAACCGUCAAAGGAAAUGAAGUUGAACUACUUGGAGUAUAGUAUUAGCAAGGAGGAGAGCACUCUAAUAGAGAAGUACCCUCGCGAUCACGCCGUGUUUACCGACCCCGCGUCGAUUCGCAAAGAAGGUUGGAUUCCUAUGAAGGAGGUGUUUUUGGAUAAGCAAGAUGUGAAGUUGAAUUUGAGGAGGUUUAAGCCUGUUUUGAAGAAAGCUCUUGCACUUCUCCAUACACGUAGUAGAGAGUAGCCUCAUUAGGUAUGUUUUGUUCAUAAUCUAAUGCAAAAGGUGUGUAGUUCAUUACUCAUAGAAGUAGAUAUGUUGUGGUAAUGCAAAAGGUGAAGUUUUGAAGAAUUGUUAUUUAAUAAUGUAAAACUUAUAAGAACAAAUUUGUUAAUGAUUAUUUCAUUAAUUAGUUAGGUUAUGCAAAUCAAUGACUAAUCCACUGAAUGGCUCAUCAAUUUUUGUACUAAUUGAAUUAAUGAUAUAUGAUACUUGUGUGACUCAAUCAUGCUGUUUGAGUCCCAUGCACAUUAGAUAGUGACUCUUUUGCACCGAAGUCCAUUGUUUUCACUAAUUUGCCAGAAUAGGACAUUUUCACUUCUUUUGUUGCAUACAUUUAAAGUUUCACAUUGAUCAUUUGAGAUUAUAAUACUAAAUUUGCAAAUUAACAAUACAAAAAAUGUCACAUUAUUGCAAAAAAAAAAAAAGAGCCAAUAGAUGAACAAUAGUGAAGUUUGGUGGGGAGUUAAGCAUCAACACAUGGUACAAAUCUUGAGAGACCUUGCUAGCAAUAAAUAAUAGAGUGUGACAUUGAUGGAGGUAUUAGAGUGGUCCUACCUAAGUUGUCCUAUAUAGUACUUGUCCUCAUGGAGCCAAGUUUUCAUGCAUUGGAACCCUAGACAAGGAGCAAGAGUAACAUUGAUUGAGGUAAAUUCAAAUAGCAUGAGUUAAAUCAUUUGGACAAAAAUUUACUGGCCAUCGUUAGUUUGGGGAUGAUGCGGAUGGACGCCAUGUGGCUUGUUUGACGGGCGCCCAUGAAAGACGAAAAAAAAAUGGUGCCCUAUGUUUUUAGAGAGAGAGAGAGAGAGAAAGCAACGGAGGGAGAGACAAGGGCGACCGUCGGAUGGCCACGCGGUGCCCUCCCGCAUUGUGCCCACGAUGCCCGGCAAAUUUUGUCCAAAUCAUUUGGGUUACAAUUUAUUGAGAACCCAUGAAUUUGUUAUCAUCAAAAUUUAUUAUUGGAUAAAAUGCAACGCAUAGGCCCUUGUGAAAUAGGUCCCUCAAUUUUAAAAAUUGAGAUAAUUACCUAUAUACCCAUCAAAACUUUGAAAUAUUUUAUACAUUCCUUUUUUUUUUUUUCGUUUCAAAUAUACCCCUCAUAUAUUUCUCUGUUAUUCAAAAUAAUCCCGUUGUUAAUACUCAUUAUGUCAUCUCGAGUUAAACCCAGAUUAAAUUUCUAUCCAAGUUUUAAAAAAAAAUUAAAAUAUCACUUUUGCUCCUAACUUAAAGGCAAAUAAGAAAAGUUGGUGAUAUUCAAAAAGUUAAAAUAUUCUUUUGUCCCUAACGUAAGAACGAAUAAGAAAAGUUAGUGACGGUAGAAGGAAUCUAAGUCUGGAGUGUAUUUGAAAAAAUUUGGAAUAAUAAAUGAAUUUAUUAUAUAUUAUUAAUUUUUUAAACUGGAUAAAUAAAAAAGUUUGAAAUUUUUCAGAAAUAUAUAAGUAAUUGUCUCUCAAAAGUUUUAUUAAAUUAAAUUACUCUGUUUGCAUUAGCUAGUAAUUAUCAUUUUAAUUAUAUUUAAUAAGAAAUUGAUAAAUAUCUCCAAAUUUGAUAGAAUUAAUAAUGGAUUGGAUACAAUUCUCAACCGCAUUCACUACAAUAUUAAUCAACACAUAAAAACUCAAGAGUUGAGAAGAUUCCAAUUCAAAGAAAAGAAAACUUGGGGGGGGCUACUUGUGAUAUGGAGACCAAUUGUUAAAUUUUAAAAACUUGGGAUGAAAAAUGGAAAAGAUAACAAUUUCGUUUUCACUGUAGGCUUAGCAUUCUCCAAAAAAAAAAUUUACUUUUUUUUUUUUAAUUUUUUUUUUUUUGAAGUACCGACAACUGCAAAGGUAAGUUAUUACAGGCGGUACCUCCACCACCCAAAGAAAAAGGUGAAAGGUUUUCUCAGCUUUUGUUUAUGGACCACUAGGCUAGAAGAAUAUAUAUAUAUAUAUAUAUAUAUAUAUAGAGUAGGAUUACUAUGCUAUUAGGAGUACAGCAGCCCUUGUGCUCCUAACUUUCUAACCACCCAUUAAGUUUGAUGGAUGAUUAGAAUGAAAGAGGGAAGAGAUAUUGGAGAGAAAUUUGGUGUUUCAAUUUCUCUUCUCCUUAAAUUUCUCUUCAAUAUCUCCUCCCUCUCUUAUUCUAACCGCCCAUCAAACUUGAUGGGUGAUUAGAAAGUUAGGAGCACAAGGNAAUUUUGAAAUCCUUUGAUCAUUAGGCAAAUGAUGUCGAAAAGAUUUGAAAUUUAAUUUCUAAACACUUCAAAUGGUAUAGAUCAUGUUCAAUGGUACCAAUCGUCGAUUUGGAGGCUCUAUCAUCGAAAACAAAUGGGUGAUAACGGAGCCUGUUUGCUAUCGAUAGUAUUCUAGCUCAACUCUCUCUCUCUCUCUCUCUAUAUAUAUAUAUAUUUAUUUAAUUUUAAAUUUUAAAAUUCAAAAUUAAAAUUUAAAAUAGUAAAUUAAAAAUUAAAAAUUAAAUAUUAAAAUUUAAAAUUUUAACAUUUUAAAAUUUAAAUUUUAAAUCAAAUUUAAAUUUAAAAAUAUAAAAUUUAAAAUUUAAACUUAUAAAACUUAAUAUUGAGAGUUUAAAUUUAAUUUAAUUUAAUUUAAUUAUAUUAUAUUAUAAAAUUUUAAAUUUAAUUUUUUAAAAUUUUAAAUUUUUUUAAAAAAUUUUGGGGGUGGGAACAGCUUGUUCCCACCCCUAUUAUGGAAUAGGGGUGGGAACAAGAAUAGGGGUGGGAACAAGCUGUUCCCACCCAUAUGGGUGGGAACAGUUUGUUCCCACCCAUAGCAAUAGGUGUUUGGUUACAAGGAGGGGAUAACCCCCUUAUACCCAUACCAAAUGGUACCCAAAUGAAUUAGAGGACUAUUGCUUUUUUUUUUUUUUUCUUUGAGAGAGAGAGAGAUAGGUAGCACGCUACCCAUUUCGUUAUUUCAUUAGAAAUAAAUUUAGCUAGAAAUGUAAAUCAACGAGUAUUCAAAUUUGGUUCUCGGAUACCAACCAACAAGCUUUUUGCCACUUACUUUAGAAACGGUCGGUAUAAGAGGACUAUUGCUAAAAGCUAAACUGGCUUUGUCAUGUUUCUUUUGCUCUUGGGGGUGGGGUUUGCUCUUCUAUUUGAGUAAACCAAUGUUUCCUCAUUUACUAUUGUGUUUUUUUUUUUUNUUUUUUUUUUUUGGCCUGUAAAGUACUAAAAGCAGCGGAGUUAAAAAAAAAAAAAAGAAUAGAAUAAAUAUGUACAUUUCGAAAAUAAUACGUGGAGUUAAAAAAUAAUAAUAAUAAAUAUGUACAUUUCUUCGUGAAGCACCAAAAGAGAGAGGCCUAAAACACUUAGCUGAAAAUAUAAAUCAAUUAAUGUUUGAAUUUGGAACUUCAAGUAUCAACUACUAAACUUUUUACCACUUGCACUAAGAAGGGUCAGUAAUUUUUGUGUAUUUUUUAAGAUAAAAAUAUAAAAAACUUACCUUUUGAAUUGGCUAUUUAACUUUUCAAAAUUUUGAUUUUAUAAUCUUUCAAUUUUUUGACUUGAGUCGGUCAACGACAUCUUGACUUCAAAGUUUGAAUCAAUAAUUCAUCUUUAUUUGUUUAGUUAAUACAUUUCAUUUAAUUCUCAGAACUACAAGUCUAAUAGUUAAUACAUUUCAUUUAAUUCUCAGAACUACAAGUCUAAUAAAAUAAAGUAAUUAGUUUAAAUUUUAAAGUCAAAAUACUGUUGACGAACUCAAAUCGAACAAAUUUGAAAGCUAGGAUAUUGAAAUCAAAAGUUUGAAAAGUCGAAUAGCCAACUCAAAAUAAUUUAUUGUUAAAUAUAACGAUCCAGCUCACUAGUAACAAUAAUAACUUAAAUACUGAAAGAACCCAUAGACAUACAGACCAUGAGAGAUUUUAAAUACUUCUGGCUGAUACAUGAUUUGAUACCAAAUAUAACGAUCUAGUCCACUAACAAUAAUAACCUAUUGGACUCAAACCAUCAACCAAAAUGCUUAAACUCAGUUAUUAUUAUUAGAGUUUACAAUCUUUUAUAUUUGUAAUUAGAACUCUUUUUUAUCCAUGUAGUACUAUUGGAAUAUUCUAGUAAAGUCAUUUUGUAAACUAAAAAAGAAAGAAAGAAAAGAUUCUAUCUUAGAUCAAGCGGGACAGAGACGAGGCGGGCCGCCUUCGCCUCCGCCAACCUCUUCGAAGAGAAAGAAAAAAAGAAUGAGAGAGAAAAAAAAAAAAAAAGGGAGAGCAAAAAGAGAAUAAGAAUAUUUUGACCAAAUCUCUAAAAAUUUGAUUCGAAUAUGUAAAAUUGGGCUUAUUUUUACAAAAUAUCAAAACUAGUAUUUUUUAUGCAAAUUGGCUUUUUUUUUAUUUAUUUUUUUUUAUUCAAAUGCGUUUCUCUCCCACUCCUCAAUUCUCCUCAAUUUUUUCUCAUUUAGCUUUUUGGUACCAUUUUAGUGGUGGCAUAUUUUUUUGGGAUAAUUUCAUAGAUGCCAUUCUAGAAAUUGUUAAUUUUAUCAAUAUCCUUCUAAAAUUGAUAAUAUCAUGAAUGCCCUCCAAUAAUGUUAAAAAUUAUUACAAAUGCCCUCUACUAGUUAAUGUCUGUUAAAAUUCAUCUGAAAUAGAGUUAAAUUUUCAAAAUACCAUAUUUACCCUUUAUCCCUUAUCAAUAAUAGAAAUACUAAUAGGUAUUUCAAGAUAAUUUUUGUAAAUCUAAAUUUGACUAUUUAAUGUAUAAAUGUUAAAUUAAUUAUUAAAUAAUAUAUUAAAAAUUGUAUUUUAUAUAUAGUGUGUUUUUAUAUGAUUUUGGUUUUGUUUUUGGGUUCGGAUUUUGGUUCAGAUUCGAUUUGGAUAUAGACCAAAAUCAUAACUAAAUUUGAAUACGAUGAGAGUUCAUUUUUUUUGUAUCUAUAACUGAAACUAUCCCUACUCAGCGUCCAUUAAGCUCAUCCCAUUCAAAAUUGAGUUCAGAUAAAAUUGUGUACCUGUAUCAAUUCACAUUCCUAAUCAGUAAUAGUAGUUUGAAAUAAAAUAUAUAUUUUAUUUUUUUCCUAUUUAAUCAAAAAUAAAUCACAUAACUAUAUCAAUAUGCAUGCUUUUUUUUAUCAAUUGAAAAAAAGAGACUUUUGCUCAAAAGCUUAAAUAUAUUAUAUUUAAGUUUUUAAUGCAUUUAAUGCAGAUAAAAUUAUUGAAAAUAAUUUUGGUUACAAAACUUUUAAGCUUCCAAAAUUAGAGAAAGAUCGAAAAAAUCCUCAACAUGUACUUUUAUUUAAUUUUUUAUACAUAGUUAAAAUAAAUAGAGCCACUGGAUUUGGUGAAAUCAUAAAAAAAACUAGAUAAAAUUUUUAUUUUUCAUACACUAAAAUUAGUUAAUUUUUUAAAAAACUAAAAGUUAAUGGGAUAUCAACUAAAAAAAUAAAAGUUGACGGAGCUGUUUCAAAACCGCAAAUAGUUGAGGGGUCUCCAUAUAUUUUUAUUAGAGAGAUAAUUGAGAGUAAAUAGGUCAUUUUAAAAGUUAGUCCAUCUUUAGUCAUUUAAUAAUUAUGGUAAAUCUAAUAUAACUAACGGUAGGAGCAUUAAUGAUAAUUUUUUAUAUUUAUAUGGGCGCAUGUGAUAUUUUAAACUUUGUAAGGACAUGCAUAAUAUUUUAAAUUUUGGAAGGGAUAUUUAUGAAAUUGAACCUUUUUUUUUGGUCCAAUCAGGUUUCGGGAGGAGAGAAAGUGGAUUUUUUGUUUUUUGUGGUGUCGCUUUGCUUUUUUCGAUAACACCUCCUCCAUGUGGCAAGUUUUUUGUGCCAUUUUGCUUCUUUAGUUUUUGGGAUUCGAAAUUAAUAAUAUAAAAAUUCAACAUUUUUUUUUGGUCUUUACAAAAUCAACUUGUUGAAUUUUUCAUUAAUUUAGUAACACCCACAAUUUUACUAGUUUUAAGAAUAAUUAUUAAUAAAUUUACCAUAAACAUUUGUACUUUUUUUUACUAUUUUAUAUGCUAGAAUUAAAAUGAUUAAUGUUGAAAAAGCAUACAAAAAUGACUAAAAUAAAUUUAAUUAGACAUAUAUAUAAUAACUUUGCAUUGAAAUAGUCAUUCAUGCAUCCACUAUAUAGCAUCAAAAUGUAUGGUAACGCCCUUUAUUGGUACUAGGUUUUUAGAUUUACCUUUUAAUUAAUAAUCAAACCUUGUUAUGAUAUCCUAAAUUUUUUGUAGGCCCCUCCACUAUAUGGUAUAAUUACAUCAUUACCUUUUAUCAUACAAGAAUUAAUAAACAACUUACUUAUGAUACCCUAAUUAAAUAAAUUUUUGUAGGCUCCACUAUAUGGCAUAAUUACAUAAUAAAAUAUAAUUCUUUCCAAAUACUAGCUUAUAAUAAUCUAACUUUGUUAUGACAUGUUAUUAUUAUUAGGGAAAACUUCGAAUACCACUCCUAUGGUUUCACACUUUCUCACUUUAGUAUCCUGCGGUUUAAAGUGUAUAAAUUUAGUACCAUGUGGUUUCAUUUUUAUCUUUUUAUUAUCGAUUCCACUAAUUUUUUUUCGUUAAAUUAGUGACAAAGUUAAAAUUAAAGGGUACUAAAGUGAAUAUUCGAUAAACCUAGGUGGGGUAUCUAAAGUUUUUUGUAUAUAAUUUAACGAAAUAUUAACGAAAAGCUGAUGAAAAGUGAAAAAUGAAACCACAGGGUACUAACUUGAUACACUUUAAACCACAGGGUACUAUAGUGAGAAAGUGCGAAAUCACAGGGGUAGUAUUUGAAAUUUACCCUUAUUAUUAUUAUUAUUAUUAUUAUUAUUAUUAUUUUGGGCUAGAAUUCUCAAAGUAAAUAUUUGGGACUCCCUUUUUUUUUUGGUAUGACUUUGGGCCCAUUAAGAGCCCACUAAUGUUAAUGGGCUUAACAUCUUGGUAUAUUAAGAUUGUUUUGAUCUACACUAAAGCCCAAAACGUUUAUGGCCAUUGAAUCAGCCUAUGAUAUGACAAUCAAAUGAUAAGGACUAUUGGGCUCUUUAAUUUGUGGUAUUGGGCCAGAGGUACCACUCAAGUUUUAUACAAACUGCGACAAAAUGAAAAUUUUGAUUAGAAACAUAUGAAACAUAUUUGAAACUAUUUGGAUUUAGCUAUUCAAUCUUUUAAAAUUUUAAUUUUCUUAUCUAACUUUUCACUCGUGUGAUUUGAGUUAGUUAGCAGCACUUUGACUUUAAAAUUUGAAUGUGUCGUUAUCUUUAUAGAUUUUAUUAGUAUAUUUCAUAUAAUUCUCACAACUGUAAGUUUAUUAAAAUAAAUAAUUAGCUUAAAAUUUAAAAUUAAAGUGUCGUUAAUCGAUUCAAAUCAAACAAAUUGAAAGGUUGGAUAACCAAAUUCCAAAUGGUCCAUAGUACGGAUUAGUUCCACACAUUUUUACCUCAGAAAUUUUGCAAAGAUAUUGAUUUAUUGAAGCGACUGUCGAAUAGAUGAAGCUAAUUAGCCAACUUCGCAAGGGAACUUGAACCAAAAAUCAAUUCCAAUUGUCGCAUCCCAAUAGUCCCCCAUCGAAAAGAAAUAAAUUAUGAAUAAAAAUAUAAGAAUUAGGGACUGUAAUACGAAUAACUGGGUUUAGUAUUUUGGAUGGAUCACUAUGUUAGUUUAAAGAGGCCGGUAUCUUGUCUUAUGAUGGGAGGCCGGUUUAGGUCCAGUCAUGUUCAAAAUGGUAAAAGAUCGGGUUGAGCAGAGUCAUCUUGGAAAUGGCGUCAGACUGGUUGGACUGAGUCAUAAUCAAGACUCGUGGAUGUUACAUCUGUACGUUUUAAAUGAAUCAGCUGUGUAUUUUUAACAGUUUGAACUUUUAGGAUUAACGAUUAGCCUCAUUGAUCCGACAAACUACUCCAACAUUCUUUUAAUUCUAUUUUUCAAGCGAUUAGUGCUCAACAACAAUCAUAGUAGCUCAUAGACAAAAUAUUAGGUGAAGAAUUUGACACCCAAACCACCACACAACCACAUGCCAACCCCUAAUUAAGAAUCUGACAUCCAAACUACCACAGGACCACAUGCCAUUUCAAUCUAGCACCCUUGUGGUUUAAGCUCCCCAGUGUAAAACAAGCAACUCAAGCAAAUACUCUCUCUCUCUCUCUCUAUCUCUCAAUCUAUCUAUCUAAGAUCACUCCCAAAUUAAGAGCACAUACAGUAGGGCCUAAGCAUGUUCACUGGGUCAACUACAAAAAAUGAACACUUCACUGUGUGAGCUCCACUACACCAGCUAUAAGCUUAGAGCCAUGCAUAAUUCCUUUUAUGAAAAUGGGGCAUGAAAUGAAGCUCCUGAGGUUCUUCAGCAGGAUUGAGCUGCAAAAGGUCGGUUUCGCGAUCGGCACGGGGUGUCUUCUAGUCUCAUUGAUAUAUGUUUCGGUGUUCAAGUUCGACGUAGUUUCGUUGCGUAAGUUCUUCAUUUUUUCUGAGGAUUGAUUAAUUCGCAGUUUUUUCGCCUCAAUUUUCCAGUUGUGUCACCUCUUAAUAUCAUCUUGUGCAGUGAAUUCAACAUCAUCAUCUGCUUUGAGUGCAUCCCCUUCGAAUCAUCGAGUCGAAGAUAUAGUUUGUUCUCAGCAAUUCGGUAAGUGAAAAAUUAGCUACAAACAAUGGAAAUCAUGUUCCUCAUCUUUACUAGAAUUUUUGUUAUUACAUUUACAAUUCCUAAUGAUGUAGUUUAGUUUUUAAACCUUUAGUUAUGCUGAAUCUGAGCUAUCAUGAACCAGUGUAUUGCUUUCGAUAGAGUAAAUAAUAACUAUUUGUUUUUCUUUCUUUUGUUUGAAGAUGAAAGAAGCGAAGAUUCGAUUCUCGGGAAGAAGCUGAUGUGCAAUUUCUCGAGCAGUAGAACAGAUAUAUGCGAAAUCGAAGGAGAUGUGAGAAUCCUGGGGAAAAACUCAUCCAUUUUUUUAGUCGAUUCGCGAGAAAUAUACGAUCCGUGUGGAGAUGAAACAUGGUGGAUCAAACCUUAUCCGCGCAAGUCGGAUAAAGAAGCCAUGAGGAAUGUUGGGGAAUUGACAUUGAGAUCAUUGAAUUCUCUCGAAGACGCCCCUCGAUGCACCGAUCGUCAUCACGAGCCUGCUAUCGUGUUCUCGGUUCGCGGUUACACGAAGAAUUACUUCCACGCCUUCACCGACGUGCUCGUCCCUCUCUUUGAAACUUCUUACGACUUUAACCGGGAGGUCCGGUUUCUCGUCACGGAUUUUAGGCCCAAGUGGAUGAACAGGUUCCUUCCGAUAUUCAAGAAUCUCUCGCGGUACGACGUGAUCAACCUCGAUAAGGACGACAGAGUUCUUUGCUUCCCUCGUGCCAUCGUCGGUUUGAGACGCCACGCCGACCUCAGCGUCGACCCUUCUCCGUCGCCUAAGGGCUAUUCAAUGGUCGACUUUGUGAGAUUCAUGCGGCGCGUAUAUUCGCUCAAGAGAGACUCGGUGGUCGGAACUAAAAGGCCAAGGUUGCUGAUCAUCACAAGGGAGGAGACGAGAAAAUUCGUGAACACAAAGGAUAUAGUUCACUUGGCGACGGAAAUGGGCUACGAAGUGGUGGUAUCAGAGGGUCAAGCAGAUUUGGCUCAAUUCUCGCGAGUCGUGAACUCAUGCGACGUGAUGAUGGGUGUUCACGGAGCGGGCCUAACGAACAUCGUUUUCCUCCCGACGAACGCGGUUUUGAUCCAGAUAGUCCCCUGGGGGGGACUAAACUGGGCCGCGAGGAUCUGCUUCGAAGAACCAUCAAAGGAAAUGAAGUUGAAGUACUUGGAGUAUAGUAUCAGCGAAGAGGAGAGCACUGUUAUAGGACAGUACAUGCGAAAUCACUCCGUGUUUAAAGAUCCCGGUUCGAUUCGCAAGCAAGGUUGGAAUGCUUUGAAGGAAGUGUUCCUGGAUAAGCAAGAUGUGAAUUUGGAUCUGAGGAGGUUUAAGCCUGUUUUAGAGAGAGCUCUUGAGCUUGUCCAUACACAUAGUAGAGAGUAACUUCACUAUAUAGGUAUGUUUUGUUUAUAUAUAUAUAUAGAGUCUAAUGCAAAUUUUUUUCUCUAUAUAUAUAUACAAAGUAUUCAUUUGUUGCCCAUGAGGGUGAAAAGAAACAUCUCAAUUGUGUAGUGCACAAUUCAUAGAAACACAUUAAUUUGUUGUAGUAAAGCAAAAAGGUGAAGUUCUCAAAGAACUGUAAUUUGAUGUAAAACUUAGAUGAGAACAAUUUUUUUGAUCAUUAGUUACAUUAACUAGUUAGGUUGUGCACAUCAUUUUCACUCUCCCCUUUUUGUGAACUUUUGUGCUAAUUGAAUUAAUUAUUUUCCUCACUUAAGCUAUGCAAAUUUUGCCGACGCAGAAAAGUCUAAAUCGAUCGACAAUUCAUGAAAUGGUAUUAACAAAUUAUCAGAAAAUAAUUAGGUGGAAAUAAUAUCAGCACCUUAGUCAUUAGAAUAUCUGGAUCCCAUAUUGCAAUUAAAGUGACCCUUUUGCACCGAAGUCCACUAUUUUCUCUAAUUUGCUAGAAUGAUAUGAUCAUACUGUUGGCUUAAAUGAGCUCGUAUCCUACCCUAUGGCGGGCUGCCAUGUUGGGCCGAGUCAGGUUCGAAAUGGCGUGAGGCUUGGUUGGCCAAGUCAUAUUCGAAGUGGCGUGAUGCUAUUUGGAUCAAAUCACAUUCGAGACCUGUGGGCGCUAUAUCUGUACGCUUUAAGUGAAUUGGUUACAUAUUUCUAACAGCUCGAGUUUUUGGGAUUAAUGGUUAGCGCCAACGAUUCGACAAGUGGUAUCAGGCUGCAAAUGUGUGCAGAUGCUUGAGGGGGGAUUGUUGGGCCAAGUCAUGUUCGUAGUGGCAUGAGGCUGGUUGGACCGAAUCACAAUCGAGACCCGUGGGUGCUGUAUCUAUAUGCUAUAAGUGAAUUGAUUGCGUAUUACUGACAGUUCGAGCUUUUAGAAUUAAUGGUUAGUGCCAACGAUCCGACACAUACUUUUGAAAUGCGGUUACAUACUUUAGAAAUGGUGUCAAUGAUUCAGAACUAUAUAUUCAUCAUGCUAAUUUGGCUUUAAAAGUUUAAAAGUAAUCUAAAUUUGCUGAAUAGCAACAAAAUAUCGCAUUAUUUGCGACGAAGGCCAAAAAUGAAUAAUAAUGAAGUUUGAUAGCCAGGAAGUAAAGCACCAAGAUUUAGAACAAAUCCCUGAGACCUUUCUAGCUUACCGACCGUCUCUAGCGCAAGUGGCAAAAGGGUUUUGUGGUUGGUACCCGAGACCCAAGUUCGAAUCCUAGUUGAUUCACAUUUCCAGCUAAGUUUAUUUCUAAAUAAAAUAAAUGAAACGGAUAGCAUGCUACUUUUCUCUCAAAAAAAAAAAAAACAAUAGGUUGUGAUAUUGAUGGAGAUCUUAUUUAGUAAAAAAUAAUUAAAAUUAUUAAAUUUGAUUAAAUAAACGAUGAACGGGACACACUAGCAUUCGAAAUAGUCCUAUAUAUAUAAGAUAUGAUAGGUCGAAAUCUCUUAAUUCGACUAUAGUAUGUUGGUCGGUGGCUAAGCCCAAAAGAUUAAAUAGUUUUAGGAUGAAUGAUCCCUUAAAAGUGAGGUAUCAUAGUUGAUAUCAGAGCCAAUCAUCAAUCAGAAAUAUGAGAUGAAUCUUAGCUGAGUCAGGAUUAUACAACAGGCAAAGCGCGCCUCUCUGAUUGAUGACUAUUGUGGGUGAAACGUGGCUCCACACAAGAUAAGCUAAGGUUUUAAUUUAAUUAACUAGAAUCAAUCAAUUCACUAAAAAAGUAAAAAGUUAAGGGAGCUUUUCCAAAGAGUUCUAUAGUUGGGGGGUCACUAUACAUUUCACCAAUUAUUUACUCACACUGUUGCAUUUCAUGUCCCUACUAAUGAUGUGGGGACUAAUUGGUCUUUACAGCCAUAAAGUGGCUUCCACCAAAUGAAUGAGACAGGUACUACUACUGACUCCUAAGAGCCAUAUAAAUUGGGCUUGUAAUGUACCUCUUUUGCUUGUGAGGACCAUAUCACAUGUUUACCAUGCUACAAUAUUGCUCUCCUAUUUAAUAAUAUUGAAAUCUAUGCUUCACUUACCAUGGGAAAAGUUCUUGUGAUUUUUAUGCGACACCCAAAUAGAACAAAAAUAGUCAUAUUAUGUUUUAAAUAUUUUUGUGCGAGUCGUUGUACUUGAAAGUUAUACUAGCUUGUAGCACAUACUGUUAGGAUUUGGUUAGAUUUGUAGUUAAAUUCUAUUUGGAUAAGAAUUAAUAUUUAAAUCUGUUUGAGAUAAAUUAAGAUUUAAAUAUUAAUUAGAGAAUAAACCUAACUAGAUUAAGAUUAAUAUUUAAAUCUAUUAGAGAUUGAUUAAGAUAGAUUUAGAUAUUAAUUAAAGUAUGAAUCCUAAAUAUAUUAGGAUUGGGGUAUGUUUUAAGUUGAGCAUUAUAAAUAGGCAUUAUGGCUCUCUUUUUUGAGAGUAGUACGGCUGGAACCAUUAGGGUGUCGUACCAGAGAGAGAAAAAGAGAGAGAGUUAUUUUAGUGCACCUUGUGUACGGGUGCACGCGGAGAGGUCUUCUUUGUCGGUUUAUAGAAGACGAGAGAAAGGUAGGAGAGAUUCAAAAAAAGGGCUAGGGUUGUAGCUACUCUGUUGCAGAAGAGGAGUCAGGUGUAAUAUUCUCUUAUUUAAUUGAAUAUUAUUUUACCCGCAUAUUUUCUGUUUUGAUUUUUUCUCUCUUUUAUGAUUGUAUCAGCUUUUGCUGAGGAGACGGGUUUAUGGUAAAAACCCGAUUCGACGCUUCCGUUGCGGAAUCCCAACAAUCGAUACCGGAUCCACAGCAGUCGGUAUCGGAGCGGGUUGCGGAUUCACGAGAUCCGGUACCAGGGCGAGUACCGGAUUUCCAACAAGUGGUAUCAGAGCCAGGUUACCGAUCUGCGGGAGAGAUCGACGGAGAUGACCACGAAAUUCGAAAUCGAGAAGUUCGACGGCAAUAACAAUUUCGGAUUAUGGCAAAUUAAAGUACGAGCAAUCCUCGUACAACAAGAGUUGGACGAGACGUUGAACGAGAAGGAGGCGAAGCCGGCGGAGGUCACGGAUGCGGCAUGGACGAAAAUGGAGCGGAAGGCGCUGAGUACGCUUCAUCUAUCAUUAGCAAUUGAGGUUCUUUACAAUGUAGCCGGUGAGACGACACCGGCGAAAUUGUGGAAGAAAUUGUAAGAUCUGUACAUGACCAAAUCCCUGACGAACAGAUUGUAUCUGAAGCAGCGACUGUUUACGUUGCGGAUGCAAGAAGCGGCGAGCCUACAUGAUCAUCUAAAUGAGUUCAACAAGGUGGUGGCCCAGUUGACCAGCAUCGGAGUCAAUCUGGAUGACGAAGACAAGGUGUUGAUCCUACUAUCUUCGCUACCGACGACAUAUGAGCAUUUGGUGACCACGUUGCUUUAUGGCAAAGAGUCCAUAAGCGUGGAGGCGGUCACGGCGGCGCUUCUCUCGAACGAGAUGCGGAAGAUGACUCAGGGGUCCGGCACGCAAAGUCAGGAUGUAGGACUGGUGGUGACUGCGAAGAAAGAGGCGAGAAUAUCGGCGACCGGAUAUCGACAGAAGAAACCGCUAUCUGAGGUAGAAUGCUUUUACUGUCACAGGAAGGGGCAUAUCAAGCGCAAUUGUCAAAAACUUCAGGAUGAUCUGAAGGAGUUAAAGUGACAGAAGGAGCAAACUGUCGUGAACCAGGACGAGACGGUAUCAGCGACGGCGCAGACAGCAGAGUCGGAGAUGAUCGAUUCUGAUGUGCUGUAUGUGGCGACCGGAGGUGCGAAAAUUUCGGACGAUGCAUUGGUGCUCGAUUCGGCGUGUUCUUUUCACGUAUGCCAGGAGAAGGAGUCUUUUGCCACCUAUAAGGCGAUCAAAGGUGGAAAGGCGCUGAUGGGGAACGGGACAGCGUGCAAAGUAUUGGGAGUCGGCAUGGUGAAAAUCCGAAUGCACGAUGGGGUCGUGAGGACGCUGACAGGUGUGCGGCACGUUUCUCGAUUGAAGCAGAAUUUGAUCUCGUUAGGCGCAUUGGACUCGAAGGGUUGCAAUAUUUCAGCUUCAGGUGGAGCUAUGAGUGUCCGAAAACGAGAUCGGGUCGUAUGCGAGGCGAACAAGCGUGGGAACUUAUACGUUCUGAACGGGAGCACAGUCAAAACGGGAGCGAAGACGGUCUGGGUUCCGAAAGUUCGCGGAGGUGCAGUCACUCGAGGCGAAGCGACGGAUGCGGCGACAUCGAGCGGAGGAGACAAGCUCAAGGUGGAACUUGCAUGGUGAGCUCGUGUAGCGGUUGAAAAUUACAAAUCAAACCAAGGUGGAGAAUAUUAGGAUUUGGUUAGAUUUGUAGUUAAAUCCUAUUUGGAUAAGAAUUAAUAUUUAAAUCUAUUAGAGAUUGAUUAAGAUAGAUUUAGAUAUUAAUUAAAGUAUGAAUCCUAAAUAUAUUAGGAUUGGGGUACGUUUUAAGUUGAGCAUUAUAAAUAGGUAUUAUGGCUCUCUUUUUUGAGAGUAGUACGGCUAGAACCAUUGGGGUGUCGUACCAGAGAGAAAAAGAGAGAGAGAGAGUUAUUUUAGUGCACCUUGUGCACGAGUGCACGCGGAGAGGUCUUCUUUGUGGGUUUAUAGAAGACGAGAGAAAGGUAGGAGAGAUUCAAAAAGAGGGCUAGGGUUGUAGCUACUCUGUUGCAGAAGAGGAGUCAGGUGUAAUCUUCUCUUAUUUAAUUGAAUCUUAUUUUACCCGCAUAUUUUCUGUUUUGAUUUUUUCUCUCUUUUAUGAUUGUAUCAGCUUUUGCUGAGGAGACUGGUUUAUGGUAAAAAUCAGAUUUGACGCUUCCGUUGCGGAAUCCUAACAAUCGAUACCGGAUCCACAGCAGUCGGUAUCGGAGCGGGUUGCGGAUUCACGAGAUCCGGUACCGGGACGAGUACCAGAUUUCCAACACAUACUUGGUAAUGCAAUUGAAUGGAAUGAGCAGGCCGCGUCAAUCAGGUGUUGAGCGAUAUAGUCAUGCUUCUUCCAUAAGAAAAUUUUUCUUUCUGACUUUUAAAAAUCUACAUUUUAUCUGCUUAAAUUUUUUAAAAAAAAUUUAGGAGGGUACGGCGUUCAAUGGAGAGGGCAAAAUGACUAAAUUACCCUUAUUUCUUCCAUAAGAAAAAAAAUAUAAUUUUUUAAUAUAUUUCUGUCAUUUUGAAGAGUGUUUUCGAUAUAAAUUGUAAGAAAUGGACGGAAUAGUGAUGAAAUCCUGAUAGAGGGGGGCUAAAUGCAACAACUUGAAAUAGUGAGAGGGUAGAAUAUAGAUUUUUUUAAGUUAAAAACAAAAAAUAAAAAAGUGAAUAUUUAGAUGGGGAUUUUCUAUAAUUUAGUCUUUUCUUUUUUUUUUUUUGUAUCUCUUUUGCUAGAAUUCCCAAGGUCAAUUGGGAUUCCCAUGUUAGUAAUUCACUAUGGGCCCAUCAACAGCCCACUAAUUAAGCAUUAACAGGCUCUUACGUUUUCGUAAAGCCCAAGUUAUCUUGAACCAUACAGAAGCCCAAAGCAUUUAUGACUGUUGGAUUAGCACAAGAUACGAAAAUAAAAGCAUAAGGACUAUUGGGCCUCUUUAGGUAAAUACUAUCUGUUUGGUCCAGCUUCUGCUUUUAUAUUUGACGAUAAUCAUCUCGAGCAGCGUAUAUGACAAAAAUAGAAAGUUUAGUGUUUCUACUGUAGUGGUAAUGAAAAAUAAGAUUCCGAGACCGUAGAGCAGACCUCUAAUUUAUUUAAUUAUUUACUUUUGCUUUAGAGAAUCUAUUAACAUAAUUUUACUACAACGUUUUUUUGUUUUAGAUAAUAUUUUAUCCGACAACACGAUACCUUAUAUCUUUCGAUGAGAAUUCACUCGAGUCUAGCAAGUUGUACACCUCUAACCUAAAGAGGGCCGCAGUGAUGAGCGGCUAACGAAGAUGGAGCAAAAGGCGUUGAGUACUUUUCAUUAACAAAUAAAGUCGUCUGCAGCGUAAGCAAUCAGAAAACAUUGAUAAGAUUAUGAAUAAAACUUUGAAAAUAUCUGUACAUGACUAAAUUCUUAACGAACAGACUGUAUUAAAACAAAGACCGUGCGCACCUCAAAUGUUGAAAUAACGAUAAUUAAUUUAAUCUACUGAGGCGCAAAUAAUGCCUACCAAAAGGACAAGAAGCCGUUCAUUAUCAUUUAUAAUUGACUCUUGAAGAAUCCAAGAACAAGCACUUGCAUAUUUCUUUAAAGAAUCCAAGUACCCUACGACUUGUAGCUAACAGGGGUACGAAAAGAAGCAUCAAUGAGCCAGUAGAAGCCUCCAAUUUAAGUACCUCUUUUGCCGAUAUUUGUUAGAGGUGUAAACGAGCGGAACAUGAGCGAGCUAAGUUAUGAGCUCAAGCUCAGCUCAUGUAUAAUUCAUUAGCUUAAAAGGUCUAGCAUUUCAUUCGAAAUGGAGAGAGGUCGGAUUGGAUCGAGUCAUGUUCGAACUAGUGAGAGACUGAUGGAAUCGAGUCACAAUCGAGAUCUGUACACGCUGUGUUCGUUGUCGGAUUGUUGGCGCUAACCAUUAAUCCCAAAAACUUGAGCAGUUAGAAAUACACAACUAAUUCACUCAAAGCGUACAGAUACAGUGUCCACGGGUCUCGAUGUGACUCGGCCCAACCAGCCUCACGCCACUUCAAACAUGGCUCGACCCACCCAGCUUCACGUCAUUUCAAAUAUAAUUCAGCCCAAUAUGACCUUCCGUCACAGGGCAGGAUGCUGACCCAUUUAAGUCAACAUUCGUAUACUUUGAGUGAAUUGGCUCACGCCAAUGAUCUGACAAGCUAGCUCGAGCUUGAGCCUGUUCAUUUAAUUGAGAGUUGAACUUGCGUUAGUCGUGAACAAAUUAUUGAAGGAUUUAUUCCGAGUACUUGAGGAACGUGAGAGCUAAAGAUUAUUGUUUCUAUUUGUUUCACAUAGAAACUGUUGUUUUUUUUUUUUUUUUUUUUUUUGAGAAAUAGGUAGCAUGCUACCCGCGCUUUGUUUAUUUCAUUUAGAAAUAAACUUAGCUGGAAGUGUGAAUCAACUAUGAUUCGAACUUGGGUCUCGGAUACCAACCACCAAGCCCUUUGCCACUUGCUCUAGGGACGGUCGGUGAAACUGCUAAGUAAAUAAUGUUGCUAAGAAUAAUUAUAUUAGUAUAAAAUUUGUAAUUAUUCUUUGUAUGAUAAGCUAAUGCUUAAUUUUGCUACAUAAAUUUUCUAUAAUAAACAUAUUCCACAUUAUUUGCAUCUACAUUUUAUGUUGUCAACUUGGAUUGACGCAAAUAAGUGCGAGCUAGUCGAAGUGGGUAUUAAUUCCUCAAAAAAUUAGAAAAAACUAUUUUUCCAAAAAUAAAAGUGUUUUUAUACAAGAUAUUUUUUUCUUUAUUUUUCGUUUUACAGAUGAAAAACUUGAAAAACAAAAAGAGAACUUUUCCGUAAAAAUUGAAAAUUAUUUUUCUAAAAAAAGUACUUUUUUAAAUAAAUAAAUAUUUUGUUUAGCUAGAAAAUUGCUUGCUGAGAUUAUUUCUGAAGAAUCAAACACCCUCUAUGCUUAAGUUUGCUUGCUCAUAUAUAUAGUCUCCAAUGGAAUACGAAUUAAUUAAGAGCUAAAGUUUUAAAUUUUAGAUAGAUUAUUGGUCCGAAAUCUAUCGAUUUAACUUCAGAUUGGAUGAGUUUUACUAGAUACGUUGCAUUUUUAACUCAUCUUGGUUCGUGCUACACCCCUUCGAAGUUGGCAUGUUCCAUCUGUACAGCAGAGCCUGAGUUCACGCGCAUUGAGUGCGAAGUCACGAGUUUACGCCAUGCACAAACUCUCUGUUUGGUGAGACAGAUUCAAGCCUAAGAACCGCAUAGGCCAUACGAAACUCGAGCUCUGCAAUUUCGUCCAAACACCCGCGAACUCUGGUUACAAAAACUCAACCACUUCAACCCUGGCUUAAUUUGAUCAAAACAAGCAUGCUUCUAAUCUUCUUAACUUUGGAUGUGCUUCAAUGGAUAUGUUAUUGACUUAAUCUUCAUAACAAAACACACAGAAAAUUUUCAUAGAGAAGAUUUUUUACAUAGAAAUCUAAGUUUUGUUUUUUUUUGUUUGUUUUUUUUGGUAGGUCCAAAGGACUCUGCCCCAUUAAUAAACGAGAAAAUGUAAAACUAGAGGCUCGAAUCUUUGACCUCAUAAACCGGCACUAGAAGUACUAAAAUAAUGUAUGGGGAAAAGAGUAACAUUAUGUUGUGUCUAUUAAGAUUGUUUAGUAUUUUCAUUUUAUUUCUGAAUAAAAUCUGAAAAAAGAGUAACAUUAUGUUGUGUCCAUUAAGAUUGUUUAGUAUUUUCAUUUNAUUUCUGAAUAAAAUCUGAAAAAAGAGUAACAUUAUGUUGUGUCCAUUAAGAUUGUUUAGUAUUUUCAUUUUAUUUCUGAAUAAAAUCUGAAAAAUCGUUCUCUAAAUAUCUGAUUUUUUACUUUUUCUUCCUUACUUUUAAAAUCUACAUUUUACUAUUUUCAAAUUUCAAGUUAAUGCAUUUGGACCCCCUCCGCUAGGUUUUCGUCACAAUUCUGUUCAUUUCUUAUAAUUUAUAGCGUAAAUGCUUUUGAAAAUAACAUAAAUAUAUUAAAAUUUUAUUGUUUCUUAUAGAAUAAAGGUAAUUUUGUUAUUUUUUUUCUUAUAGAAUAAAGGUAAUUUUGUUAUUUCGCCCUCUCCUAACUUCUUGAAAAUAUUUUUAAAAUUUUGUUAUUCUAUAUUUCUUAUAGAAUAUAGGAUGCUGAAAGUCAAAGGAGAAAAAAAAAAAAAGAUAUUUAAAUAGAUUUUUUUUUUUUUUUGGUAUUUUAUCCUUUUUUUUGUUUUUGAAGUUAUGACAUGAACUCUCAACCAAAGGAGGAAGUCUAGUGUGUAACACUUACACCACAUCAUCAAUAACCAGCCAAUCAUAUAUAUCUUUCGAUAAAACUACUCAAAAUCAAUUGGCAAGAGGUCAAUGAUUAUGUGAGUUGCUUAAAUAAUCCCAAUCAAACCCUCUCAUGGUGGAAAAGCAAAUAGCUACUAUUUAUACCGGAGUAAAUGGAUAUAUAUCUUGAUCCGUUAGAAAUUGGACACGUAAAGAAAUUUCUUAUUCAGGGUACUCCCGAAAACAGAUCCAGUGGAGACGGGUUGGGGCUUGUAGCUCAGAGGAUUAGAGCACGCAGCUACGAACCACAGUGUCGGAAAUUCGAAUACUUCCUCACCCAUAGCUUUCCCAAAAAAGCAAGGCCCUUACUUUACCACUAGAGUAGGAAAAUCAUGAUUGGGAUAGCGGAAGCAAAGCUAUGGCUAGCGCCCAUAGUGUGAGGGGCGAUGUGUACAUGGUCUGGGAACAAAUUCAUCGCCGUAUCGCUGACCGGCGAUUACUAGCGAUUCCGACUUCAUGCAGGCGAGUUGCAGCCUGCAAUCCGAACUGAGGAUGGGUUUUUGGAGUUAGCUCACCCUUGUGGGAUCGCGACCCUUUGUCCCGUCCAUUGUAGCGCGUAUAUCGUCCAGGGCAUAAGAGGAAUGAUGACUUGAUGUCAUCCUCACCUUCCUCCAGCUUAUCACCGCCAGUCUGUUCAGGAUUCCAAACUCAAUAGUGACAACUAAACACGAGGGUUGCGCUCGUUGCGGGACUUAACCCAACACCUUACGGCAUGAGCUGACGACAGCCAUGCACCAGAGAGAAGUACAAAAAAAAUAUUUUUUUAUUAACCAUAAAAGGAUUGGUAAUCCAAAGGAAACAAUCUAAUUGGCUGGAGACGCUAUAUCAGCAAUAUAAUCGGUGCAUUCUAAAAUUUUUUCAACUAAAAAGAAUGAUGUUUUUCUUUUUUUUUUAAAAAAAAACCUAACUCUUUUUGGUGGAAGAGUGUUCUAACGACCAGGGAGGUCUUCAAAUGUGGUAUCUCUUUCACAAUUGGGAAUGGUCAAAUGGUUAAUUUCUGGAUUGAUAUCUGGUGCGAUCGAGCUCCACUGCGAAUUUUAUAUCCGUGUAUCUUUGAUAAGACCACUUCGAAAAACUCCAAAGUGAAGGAGUGCUGGGGGAGAAAUGGGUGGAAGUGGCAUAAGAUUUUGUCAGGAUUCACCCCUUCGACCCCGAGAGACUGCGACCAACUUUCGAACUUCAAGGAGUUACUUGUUACGAUUUCUCCAAGUAAUUCACAGGACGAAGUAAGAUGGAGGUGGACACAUUCCGAAACGUUCUCGAUCAACUCGGUAUAUAAAUUCCUUAUGGACAGUGGAGUCAGAGUUGACAGUUCCGUACGUCUAUGGAAGAUCAGAUUCCCUCUUAAAGUCUAGAUCUUCGUUUGGCUUGUGCUGAAAAAUAAGGUGCUCACCAGGGACAACCUUCUCAAAAGGGGCUGGAAUGGAAAUAAAAAUUGUGUUUUAUGUCUAGACGAAAAGGAGACUGCGGAUCAUCUCUUCUCUGGCUGCACCUACACCACAGCUUUACUGAAAGGUUUGCUACCUAAUAAACUACUCUUUAACAAUCGCCCUUCCGCGAAGGAGUUUGGAAAAAGAGUAGUGCCAAAAAGGGCGCACAUGGGGAUAUAGAAAUGUUGACCAUCGCUGCAACGUGGUGGGUAUUAUGGUUGGAGCGCAACAAACGAAUUUUUCAGUAAUCAAGAUGGGCGCUGGGGAGUCUGUUUAUGGAGAUCAGAGUGCUUAGAGACUCGUGGAAUCGCUCAUGUAGUUGAUCUGUGUUGUUUUUGUUUUUCUUUCCCUUUUCUUCUUUUCUUUUUUCUUUUGUCUUUCUUUUGUUUUUCUCUUGUACUUGAGUUUGGCUUUUAUAUUUUCCUCUUUCUUUUCUCUCGGGGUCUUGGAUGUCUCAAUUUGUAACUAAGUUCACUCCCUAGUUGAAUGAAGCGGUAGUAUGCUAUCUUUUCUCAAAAAAAAAAAAAAAAAAAAAAAAAAAAAAAAAAAAAAAAAAAACCCUCUCAAAUCAUACUAAAAAAAUAAUUUAAAUAAACUUUAUGUUAGCCGUUCAUUACUCUUUAAAUGAAAACGGUUAUUAGUUGAUGUUAUAAAUGGUGAAAAAGUCUAAAUCAUAAUAAAAAAAUAAUAAAGUGAACAGGGCCUAAGAUUGCGCUUUUAAUUUUUAAAUUUAUUAGGUACUCAGUACUCUCGAUCAUGACCUGACCUGGAUUAAUUAACAUUAAAUUGUACAACACAGUUGAACUAACACGCAUCAAUUGUAAUCAAAUUAUCGUAGCUAUUAAAUAUUAUUUGAUACUAUAAUUUUAUUUUUUUCAAGAAAAAAGAAAAAAAUAUUAUAAGUAAUUAUAUUAAACCCUCAACGCGUAUAAUUUAUAACUAAUUUUACUUAGUUAUAUAGAUACAAAAUAUAUUUUAUACAUUAUAUAUUUGUGUAAACGCUUAAUCUGUAUGGGCUUAUGCAUAAAAGAACCGCAUAUAGUAAUAAAAAAUAAUAAAUUUAAAUAGUAAUAUUUAUAGGAUUGUUAGUGUGAGACUCUUUUGGAGUAUAACAUACAUAAGUACAUACUAUGAAGUAUUUAUAUAAAUAUUUAAUUUAAAUGAUAAAUUUUUGGUAGUUAUAAUUGUAAAACUCUUUUUAAUAUUAUACACAUAAUUUCUUUUUUUUUUUAAUAAGACAUAUAAGAAAAUAUUAAAUCUAAGAUAUUGCCGAUUAAUUAUAAAAGAUAUAAUAAUAAUUUUAAUUCAUAAUUUUUUUAUAUAAAGUAUAUAAGUUUGAAAAACUUAUACAUUAAUACUAAAUAAAUUAAACUAAAUUUAUUGCCCCUUAAUUAUUUGCUAUCAAAAAUACCACCCGAACUUUUUAGGGAUAAGUUGUUAUUUUACAACUUAAUUCUUAUUUAACUAAACUUUAAUCAUGGCAAAAUAACAAUCCAUUAAGAGAGUGGAGGGAAAUCAUGAUAAUUUUCUACAUUUGAAGGGAUAUGCAUGAUAUUUUUAAGUUCGCAGGGGUAUUUGCAAUAUUUAUAUAUUUGAGAGGGGUAGUGAUGAAAUUGUCCCUAAAUUUUAGUUAGGGAUAUUAAAGUAAUUUUAUGUCAUGCAUUUUAUAUGUAAGGUAUAUAUUCCUUCUAUACAAACUAACAUGGUAGCAAUACAAACUAACAUGGUAGCAUGUGAUCUUGAGCAAUAAUUUUUCCUUUUUUUUUUAAGGAUAUAAAUUUCAAAUACCAUCUCUGUGGCUUCACACUUUCUUACUUUAGUAUCAUGUGGUUUAAAGUGUAUACCAUGUGAUUUCAUUUUAUCUUUUCGUCAGCUUUUUCGUUAAUAUUUUAUUAAAUUAUAUACAAAAAGCUUCAGAUACCCCACCUAGGUUAAUAGAAUAUUCACUUUAGUAUCAUUUAGUUUUAACUUUGCAUUGAUUUAACGAAAAAAAAAAUAGUGGAAUUAAUAAUAAAAAGAGAAAAAUGAAACCAGAGGAUACCAAAUUGAUAUACUUUAAAUCAUGGGGUAGUUAAGUGAGAAAGUACGAAACUACAGGCGUGGUAUUUGAAGUUUUUCCUUUUUUUUUUUUUUUUUAAGUGCUCCCACCUCCUUUUUAAUAAAUCCAAUGCAAGUUUCAAUGAUUCAUGUCUUAAAACCAUAAUGUAAUUUGAUAGAUACAUUCUGCACCAUCCAAAAUAUUUACGUAUAAGAAUGUAAAAUAUUUGACAAUUUAUUAAUAAGACAUCAAGUAGUAGUCGCAAUAAUCAACAAUAUAUGGAGGGAAAGAAUCUCUCGUUUGUGAGAAAUAGAGGUCCAAAAUUUAUAAUUUUAAACAUAUAAGUAUUUUAAAAAUUGUUGAAUAUAUUAUGUAAGUCGGAUUCUGAAUGGAAUGUAUUUAUACACCUGGUCUUUUAGAAACCAUACUUAAUUUCUCUUUUAUUCCCAUGUCUUUUUAAAAAUUUUAUUUCGUCCUCUUAAAAUUUAGAAUUGUAGCACUUAAUUCGGCACUAUUACAGAUUUUUAUCGCAAUUUCGUGUACAAAUUGUAUAUUAUAGUUACGAAACUUACUGAAAUACCUAUUAUAUCCUUAGAAAUGAUAUGAAUGCAUAAAAACUUUAUAUUUUCUCUCGGAGUAAAUAACUUUUGCAAUUGAUUGCCGACUAUCAACUAACUGACUUUUCUUUUUUCAUCAUUUCUAAGGAUUAAAUGAGCAUAUUAAUAAUUUCUCGAUUAUACCAUAUAAUUUUAUAUAUAUGGAAGAGUAACGAAAUUAUAAUAGUAUUACAGGAGUGUAAAAUACAAAAGUAAAUAUUUAUAGAAUAGUUUUCUGUACUUUACUCUAUUACUAAUGAUAAAUAUGUCGGCUAUUUAUUAUUUGGUUAAAAUAUAUUCAACUUUUUGCCCCGUAACAAUAGAUUGAGGACACUAAUAAGUUGAGUUGGAUGGGCCUAAUAAGUUGAGUAGAACUGCGGUUCACAAUAGACGUAACAUCUAAAUGAGUUGAAUCAAGUUGAAAUCCAUGAGCCUAGUGGUUGAGCCUUUAAGUGUAUGCGAUGGAUGUGUCCUUACUAUUAGUACGCAUUUUUGAGAUAGUUGAUUAGUACUUACUAUCCACAAAAUACAUACAAAUACAUACAGAUUGAUUUAAUGUAAUCUAUACAAUCUAUUCAUGUCAUUCCCCACCUACUCCCCAAGGAAGUGCCCUAAACAUGAAUAAGAAAUUAGUAUUUGUGAUGCUAAAGUCCAUGGAGGAAGUGGUCAUAGUUGGAUGCUUGUGGAAUAUUAAACACUUAUUAUUGAUCAGAGACCAUUUUAGAGCCCCAGAUUUCAAUGUGAGAAUAUUUCAUCUCUUCUCAUUGUACUUGAGCUGCCAACCAAACAUCCAAAAAGUCUCCCUCUCCAAUGGACAAAAGACAAAAGAAUGAGUCUUCUUGCACUCUUUCUUGCAUCCUCUUUUUAUCUUUGAUAGCUCAUUAUAACCAAAAAUGAUGUACUAAUAAUGGUUGCACCAAGUGCAUUUGUAUAUCCAUGCACCGCAAAUUAAUAUUGUAGCUCUCUUUUUCAUUUCCACACUGAUUUCGAUUCCUAUUAUUGAACUUUUCAGUAGAAACGUCAUUCGGUUCUUUCACAACUUGGAUCUUACGCACGGGAUGAUCACCCAUCUAAAAUUUCUUUUCUAUUUCGGUUCUAAAUUCAAUUCUUACGGCUGUACUUUUCAGUAGAAAUAGCAUUCGGUUCUAUUUACAACUUGAAUCCUGUGCAUCGGAUGAUCAUCCAUCUAUAUCUCUUUUUCAUUACUUUUCUAAUUUCAAUUUUUACUGUUGAACUUUUCGGUACGUAAAAACAGUAUAAUAUUCGAUUCUUUCACAACUUAAAUCCCACGUAAUAGAUGAUCACCUAUCUAAAAUUUCUAUUCUAUUUCGUCUCUGAAUUCAAUUCCUACAGUUGAACUUUUAAGUAGAAAUAGCAUCUAGCUUUUUCACAACUCGAAUCUUGCACAGAGUAAUCCCCCAACGGAUGUGUGGUGGAAUGUAUUUCCACUGCAUGCAUUAAAAUGGCUCAAAUAUGUCCUCCUCCGAAUGCAUGGUGGAACCGCCUUAUGCACAAUAUUUUUCUACCCACGGUACCUAUUGCAUGCGAAGUGGGUUUGAAGAAAGUAAUUCUGUAACUGUCCGAAUAGAAAAGAUUAAAAUGAAAGAUAUGAUGGAGAUUAGUUGGUGUUUCCGUGGUGCACAGAUGUAGCGGUGCACCCGGUGCACCCAAUAAUUUUUCUAUUCCCUAGUUGUUCGUAUUAUUAGGUGAGGAAAAAGAAACCGUUGGACUAAAUCAGAGAGGUUCACUUCAUUUCAUUCACCUUAUAACACAUGGCUAGUGCUAUUUUUAAUUAAUAAAUUUAAAACUAAACAACAAAAAACUCUCUAAAUGUUUGUGUUGUUCACACUUUGAUCCUUUUACACCGUCAAACUUUUACAUCUGGGUCUCCUACUCUUAUACCAAAUUAAAGAAUAUAAAAUAGUAAUUUACCUCUAAAAACUUAAUAAAUUAUCAAAAGAAUAGUAGUUUUAAUUUUUUUUUAUUCAACAAUACCAAGAUGGUUUACCUACAAAUUUUAGCUUCUUUUAACAUAGACAAAAACAGUAACAUCAAUCAACCCCAAUAAAGAAUCCCUGAGGAGGCUUCUUUGAAGCUCCUUCCCAUGGUGGUUUUGGUUCCUUAAGGUGCAAACCCUAAGAGAGAGAGAGAGAGAGUAGAGAGAGAAAGAGAGAGGUGAAGUAAGAGAAAGAGAAGGGAAUAGAGAGAGAGAGAGAGAGGGGGAUGGGGGAGGUGAAGGUGGUGAAAACCAUAAGCAGGGCUUUAUCUCAGAGCCAUGUUGGCUUUGCUCUGUUUGGGUUCUUCUUGGUCAUCCUCACAUAUUUCACAGUUUUUGAGCAGUUCUCAACUAGGCCCCCUAAUGGUAAAUUAAGUCUCUUUCUUUCUCUAAAAUUUAUUAUGUACAAUCACCUAUAAAUCACUCAAAAAGCAAGAAAAAGAAGAGGAAACAUAUAUAUAUUGUUCAUUGAAUUCUUUGUUACUCAUUGGUUUCUCCUUUUCUUUUAUUAUUUUUCAUGUAUUUAUGCAGCACUUUUGCGAACUUCGCCGGCGGUUUCGGCGCAAAUGAAUCCAAAGGAGCAGGAAACAGAUGCUCUGAAGAAGGAUGAUGGGAUUAAACUGGAGGAGAAACCAACACCUGCUGUGGAUUUUCAUGGUGAAGAGGACAAUAAGAACACAGGUAAUCAAUAUAUGUAAAUUUGACUUGAAUUAUAUAUAAUCCUAAUGAUUGAAAUUGAAUUGUAACUGUUCAUACAAAUUGAUUUUGGUAAUAUCAGAGAAUGAUAGAAGAAUAGAAGAUCAUGAGAACCACAAGGAGCCUGAAGAUGCUGAAAAGAAAGAUGGAGUUGAUUCCAAGCAAUUUGGUGUGCAAUUUCAUGAUUUCCUUCUAACUUCAAUCCGAUAAUUUUCGUAGUUCAAUCAGUAACACAUCUCGAAUUAUGUUUUAUGAUCUUGCGAUAUUCAGGCCACGAACCCGAGAAGAAGGAAGAAAACGAUUCCAAGCAAUUCGGUACGCGGGUUUGCUUUCGCGAUUUCAAUCCAACAGUAAAAGAAAAAAAACAUAUUCAAUUAGCGACAAAAAUCGAACUAAGAUUUGUGAUCUUUGAUGCAGGCGGAGGAACCGAGCAUCCGAACCAACAGCCUGAGAAGAAGGACGAAACCGAGGUCAAGCAAUUCGGUGCGUAAGAGUUCGAUUCUUAAUGCGCAUGCGUGGCGUGUCUAUAACAUUUGGCAUAGGAAAAUGCAAUACCUGCUAAACGAAUGAGCGGUACUUGAAACUCUCGUAUUAAACUUGAAUAGUUGUAAUAUGAUUAAUUUUGGCAAUUGAAGCAGGCGGAGGGACGGAGAAUCGGCAGCGGCCGCCUCAGAACAAGCCGUUAUGCGACACGGCCGAUCCGCGAUCGGACGUGUGCGACAUGGAAGGCGACAUUCGGACGCACGGGAUCUCCUCCUCUAUCCUGUUCGUCCCUCCCUACCCUGUCUCCAAUCCGGAGCCCCAUGAAUGGAAGAUCAAACCGUACUCGCGAAAGUUCAUGAAUGGUAUCAAGGAAGUCAGUGUGAAGCAGCUGCACGGCCCGCAGGAAGCCCCUGCUUGUUCUGUCAGGCAGAGCAUUCCUGCCGUAGUUUUCUACCUCGGCGGCCUCACGGGCAACUACUGGCACGACUUCACCGAUGUUAUAAUUCCGCUCUUCAUCGAGGCUCGACAAUUCGACGGAGAGGUUCAAUUUCUCAUCACCAACAUUCAGGGUUGGUGGAUUGGCAAGUACCACAUGAUCCUCAAGCAGCUGUCACGGUACGACAUUAUCGACCUAGAUAAGGAUUUGCAGAUUCGGUGCUACCCGCGCAUGAUCGUCGGGAUCAGAAGCCACAAGGAGUUCAGCAUCGAGCCCUCGCGGGCUCCGAACGGACUAUCCAUGGUCGAUUUCCGAAAGUUCAUGAGGAUAGCCUAUUCUUUGGAUAGGGACUAUCCGAUCAAGCUGCGCGAGAACGUCGGCAGCAAGAAGCCGAGGCUGCUGCUCAUCGCGAGGGGGCUCAGUCGGAGAUUCACCAAUGUGGAGGAAAUCGUGAAGUCCGCAGAGAGGCUAGGGUUCGAGGUCGAGGUCGUGGACGCGAAGUUCAACGUGAACAUCGCGGAAUUCGCGAAGGUCGUGAACUCGUGCGACGUCAUGGUAGGCGUCCACGGGGCCGGCCUGACGAACUGCGUUUUCCUGCCGACGAACGCGGUUAUGAUCCAAGUAGUCCCCUACGGGAAGCUCGAGCACAUGGCGAAGAUCGAUUUCGGCGAGCCUGCGAUCGACAUGCAGCUGAAGUACGUCGAGUACAGCAUAAGCGCUGAGGAGAGUACACUGAUGGACAUGUUUGGGAAGGAUCAUCCUAUCAUCAAAGAUCCAAUGGCAAUCCACAGGAGUGGAUGGGAAAAGGUUGGGGAAUUUUAUCUUGGAAAGCAGGAUAUAAAGCUUGAUGUGAAUAGGUUUGCUCCCACUCUAUUGAAAGCCAUUGAUCUCCUCAAAGAAUAGGGGGGUUAUUGCACCACACAAAAGAGAAGUUCAAAUUUAGCAUAUUGGUUUCAAUUUUCACUUCAUGUUCUUUUUUUCUUUUUUUGGAUUAUUAGCUAAUUACAGUUACUAUUUAUUAUUAUUAAUUUUUUUUUGUAAAAGGAUAUCAAGUUAAAGAGUUCUUUUUUGGGAAAUAUUGGAUAUGCAUCUUGCUUGAGCAACAACAAUUUUUUUUGCUUGACAAAUUCGAAUUACAACUAAUAAAACAAAAUUUAUAUUGUGAAUUUUGUUAUUGAUGUUUUAAUUCAUUUGAAAUCAAAGUCGGAUUAUUCACGCGGUGACGAGAUUUAUUUACAUAAGUUUUGGGGGGCUUUUGCUUAUAUGCCUCUUAGGGCCCGUUUGGCCUAGCUUCUAGAAAAAUGAUUUCUGCAUAAAUGAUUUUAGUUUGGAAAGUGAUUUCUGUUAAAAACUGUAGAGCGGUUGGCUGAGUCUGAUAGAAAAGUGAUUGUGCUGAAGUGAUUUUAGAAAGCUGUUUGGCAAAUUUUUUUGCUAAAGUGAUUUUGUAAUGCUGUUUAACAUUAGUUAUUUUUUAAAACUAACUAAUAUCACAUACCAAUAUUUCAAGUUAUUAAUAAUUAUUUAAUAUAACAAAACCAUCUUAAUGAUAAAUAUCCAUUAGGAUAACAAUUUAUCUAAAUGUACUCAUCAAUGAUGCAGCAAUACGAUCACGAGUUUGGAUCAUGAUGUAAUCAUCUGUUACUCCACUAUAAGUCUGUGUCGAACUACUUGUACUGCUUUCAUCUUCUUCAAUGUUCGGCAUAUAAUUUAUAUCUUGAUCACAUUUGUUGAACUCUUCAUCUUGCGUUGAACUCAUCCUAAUAAAGUUAUGAAGUGUCAUAGUUGCAGACACUAUUUUUGAUUGAGUUGGCACUGGAUAACCUUGCAUCAUUUGUAAUAUACGCCACCGUGCUUUAAGUACACCAAAUGAUCGUUCAAUAACAUUCCUCAAGGAUGAAUGUGCAUGAUUAAACACUUCUUUACUAUAUACGUACUAUUGAAAAAUUUUAAAUUUAUCCUUCGAUAUUCAAAAUACAUUUUCUUAAUUAAAAUAUUUUUUUUUUAUUUAUUCAUUCUAAAAUUUAUAACUCUAAUUUCUUAAUUAUCACGUGUCUUUAUAUUAUGAAUUUUUUUAUUUUAAAACUUUAAAUAUUUUUAUUGUAUGUUAUAAUAUUUUAAAUAAUGAGUUAUGUUACGCUUUUAAAACACAGACAUAUGUGUGUGUGUCUGCCGUGUGUGUGUUUGUGCGCGUACGUGUGCCCACUCGCCCACCUGCGGGGGAGUAUGGAUAAAGAUGUUAGCUAUUUAAAAAUUUACGAAUAAAUUUUAUUCAUGCUCAAAUAAUCUGCUGAGUAUAAUUACCCAUCCGCAAGUUAUCCAAUCCGCCGAUUUACCAGAUCUAGCUAGUCACUCUCACUGGGUAGGGAAGUUAGGCAAACUAACUGGCCAAACAAAAAAGCCGCAGCAUUUGAUUCUACACUUUGCUUUUUGCCGGUCCUCUUUCUUUAAUAAAGAUUUGUUCACUUUACAUGAUCAUGAUUUUGCAAAAGGUUCUUCCCAUGACGACGCCGAUGAUUAAUUAAGAUUGAUUGUGACAAUGUUUAGUGACCUAUCACACACGAAAAAACAAUCUCUUUGUGCAGAAAUAGUUUGGUACAAUCAAAUUGAAAGGGUUCGACAACCGGUGCUCUCAAAUGCUAUUUUCAGGAGUUGCUGAUACGUCACAUCAUAGAUUAAUUUAUACAGUAUAGACUAGUACAUAACGGAACAAAAAGUAUUUUUCAUGCUGAAAAAAAUAAUUUUCAAGGUUCAAAUUUACUGGACUUCGUGUAGAAAAAAAUUGUUGGUGAAAAUUUCAAAAAUUUUCCAAUAAUUAUUUUACUUUUUAAUUCAUUAAUUUAUUAUUUUUAUUAUUAAUUAACUUAAGUUUUUAUUAUUGCGGACGUUUUGGCUUGCGCCUCGCGUGCACCGUUACGCGCGCUCCCACUCCGCUCGCGCGCACGCACGAGAAGCGGACGACCGUUCCACAGGCGGGCGUUCAAGUCUCCCAACGUUCCACUGUGUAACGAUCGAUCUUUGACCCUCUAUUCAUUAUAAAAGGGCUUCACUGUUCAUCAGUUCAUGGUGACAAUGAGAAAGCAAUUUUGAGAGAGAAAGAGAAAAGACUAUUACGAGUUGUUUAAUUUUUUCUAUUGUUUUAAUCCAUUUGAUUUGAUUCGUUUAUCAUCGGGUGUUGAAAGAGUCUCCGUCAACCUCUUCCGCGUUCGUGCUCGUAGGAGGAGGAAUUCCGGUCGUAUCUUGGGGCGGUGUUUCGGGUUAAUCCCGCACGAAAGACAGGAAUACGCCUUAGGGCAGUGCUUCGCACGCUUCCGGAUCAAUUAAAAUCAUUAUUUGGAUAUUUGCGUUUAUCUGUAAGUUGAUUUAUUUAUUUUCAUAAUAAAAUUUAGUUAGAUUUAAAUCACACUCAGAUUUUUUGUGUGGUAUUUGUUCUAACAAAAGUUUGGUAUAAUCAAAUGGAAAGGGUUCGACUAGGAGUGCACUCAAUUGAUAUUUUCGGGAGCUGCUGAUGUGUCAUAUGUAGAUUGAUUUUGUGUAUCAUCGACUAGCACGUAGAAGGUGCAAAAAAUAUUUUUCCUACUAAAAAACAUAAUUUUUAAGGUUUAAAUUUGCUGGUGACCUUGCGUAGAAAAAGUUGGUAUAAUGAAAAAAAAGGGGCACCACUAUGGGUGCUCCCAAAUGCUAUUUUUAGGAGCUACUGAUGCAUCACAUGUAGGGGUGGAAUACGAGCAGGAUUUUUCAGCUCGUUUAAUAAACGAGCCGAAUAUGAGCUAGGGUCAGCUCGCUCGUGUUCGGCUCGAUAACAGCUCGAAUACAUAUAUUUUAUAUUUAUAUAAUUUAUUUAAUUUAUAUUUUUAUAUAUAAAUAAAUAAUUAUAUAUAAUAUAUAUUUUUAUUAUUUAAGUUUUAACAAAAUAAAAAUAUAAAUACGAGCUUAAUUAUAAAAAGACUCAUUUAUAUGUAAAAUUUCAACUAUUAGAUAAAAGUCUAAUGGAUAAGGUUUUAUAAAUUUAUUUUUUAUAUAUAUUUAAUCUAAUCUUUUUUAAUUUAUUAUUCGUUGGCCAGCUCGUGUUCGGAGCCGAACACGAGCCGACCCCAGCUCGCUCGUGUUCGGCUCGUUUACACCCCUAAUCACAUGUAGAUUGGUUUGUGCAGCAUAGACUAACAUGUAAAAGGUACAAAAAGUAUUUUUCAUACUGAAAAUAGAAUUUUCAAUGUUUAAGUUUUGUUGGACUUUGCGGAGAAAAAGCUUAGCAUAUCAAACGAAAGGGUGGGGACUAUGAGUGCUCUCAAAUGCUAUUUUCAGAAGCUGCUGAUGUGUCACAUGUAAAUUGAUUUUAGAGAAAAUUUCAAAAACCACUACUUUGGUUUCACACUUUCUAACUGUAGUACCUUAUGGUUUAAAGUAUAUCAGUUUAGUGUCUUGUGGUUUUUUUUUUAUCUUUUUAUUAUCAAUUUCAUUAAUUUUUUUCGUUAAAUCAGUGACAAAGUUAAAACUAAAGGGUGCUAAAGUAAAUAUUCGAUAAGUCUAGAUUGGUAUCUGAAGUUUUUCAUAUAUAAUUUAACGAAAUAUUAACGGAAAAGCUAACGAAAAGAUAAAAAUAAAAUCAUAUGACACUAGCUUGAUACAUUUUAAAUUACAUGAUACUAAAAAAAGAAAGUACGAAACCACAAAAAUGGUAUUUGAAGUUUAUUCUUGAUUUUACGUAGUAUAGACGAGCAUGUAAAAGGUGUAUGGGUAGUUAAUUUAGUUUUUAAUUUUUUUAGCGAUAUAUGAAUAGGCACGCUCUAACUCUUAUAGGGAUGCAAACGGGGCGGAUCCGGGGGCGGGAGAGUUCCCCCACCUCCCGCUCCAUUUCUUAUCUGGGCCGGGCGGAUUCGGGGCGGGUUACUUUUCAUUUUAUUUUUGGCUCCCACUUACCACUCCAUUCGGGGCGGAUCGGGGCGGGAGCGGAUUUUUAACGGAUCGAGGUAGAUUGAAGGAAGAAAAGAGUCUCCCGCCUCCCGCUCCAUUUACUUGGCGGAUCGGGGCGGAUUCAGGACGGGUUAUAUUUUUCUAUAUUUUUUGUUCCCACCUACCACCCCAUUCGGGGCGGAUCGGGGCGGAGCUCCACCAACCCGGAUCCAUUUGCAUCCCUAAACUCUUAGACUUUUGACAAAUCACCCCCUGAACUUUUAAGUUUGGCAAUCAGAUUCAUAACUUUAUCAAAUAAUUCACUUGGCUUAUUCUGUCAAGCAAAUUGAGUUACUAUUAAACAACUGUGCUAGAAGCAUGUCUUGUAGAUAUCUCAUGAAUACUUCUUUUCUUUUCACAAAUAAAAUAAAAUAUAAAUUUUAAAGAAUAAGUCGAAUCUAUCUUCCAUUUUUAUUUUUUUUUUCCAAGCAGUAUAACAAAAAAGAUAGGUUUUAAUAAUAUGCAAAACAUUUGCCAAGAAUGGAUAUUUAGUCAGUAAGUUCUCUAAAAAAAUAUGACCUUUUAAAUUAUUGGAUAAAGUUUAUAUUAAAUAUAAAAAUAUUUAAACACCGUUCUCUAAUAGGUUAAGCUUUUAGAGUACAACAGUUGUUUCACAUGAUAUCAGAGUAGGAGAUCGUGAGUUUAAGUCAUGCCAGACUCCUGGCAUAUUAAUUUUCUCUCAUUUAAUUCAAGCCCACGUCAUUAACCGACUAAAAAAUGUCGAGUCCAGACGUGAAUUCUCAAAAUUACUAAUUUAUAUACGUAUUUGCGAACGCUUGAAAGUUUUAGAGGGUGUGUUUGUAUAUUUUUUCCUUCUUUUUAAGUUGUUUUCUUUUUCUUUUUCUUUUUCUUUUUUUUGCAUAUCCUUAAUGUUAGUUUCACAUCCAAAUUUCCAUUUUUUUUUUAUUUUGCAACAAAUAAUCAACUUUUUCAUAUUUCACUUUACAUGGGCCACAUGCUUGAGAGAGAGAGAGAGAGAGAGAGAGAGAGAGAGUACAAAUGGAAACCAAACUCUUGUGGCAACUAGGGCUGGCAAACGAGCGAGCCGGCUCGCGUUCGACUCGUGUUCGGCUCGAUAUUUGGCUCGCUCGAGCUCGACUCGAAAUUAAAUGAGCCGAGCUUGAACAAAAUAAAAGGCUCGAAAUUCAUUUCAAGCCGAGCUUGAGUAUUACUCAGCUCGUUCGAAUUAGGCUCGAAAAGCUCGAAAAGCUCGAAUAUAUAUAUAUAUAUAAUGUAUUUUAAUUAUAUAUAGGCUUUAAUUUAAUUUGGGCCAUUAUUGUUGGCCGAUAAAAUAAACCCAACAAGUACAACCGUGCAAUUGAGCCCAACUCUAAAUUUACAUAACACACUUCUUUUUUCGGACUUGGGUCACUGUUGCACAUAACCAUCAAAGUGAUACAUUCAAUUUUUCACAAUCCCUUACUUUUUUUUUCUCUCUCUCUCUCUCUCUCUCUCUCCUCUCUCUCUCUCUCUCUCUCUCUAGACCUAUAUCUUAGUCAAGAAGUCACCCUAGCACUUCAAUUUCUUAUAAUUAAAUUUGUUUUUUGAACUAUUGGACAUUUGCACUCAAAUUGUAGGCUUACGAUUGUUCUUAUAAAAAAUUAAAUUGAUUGAUUAUAUAUAGUUGAAAUAUUCAAUCGGGUCGUGUUGAAGCUCGAGGCUUCGGCUUCGACUCGAAAUUAGCGCUCUCGCUUCAGCUCGGCUCGAAUUAAUUAAGCCGAGCUUUUCGAGCCUACAUUUAUGGCUCGAAUUAAUUUACAAGCCGAUUUGGAGCUAGACAUUAAGCUCGCUCGAGCUCGGGUUCGUUUCCACCCUAGUGGCAAACCCAUGUGGGGAUUUGGCGGCAACUAAUCAUAUAAAUAUUUCUUUAAUUUAAACAUACAUAUUCAAAAUUUUUAUUUAUAAACUUAGACUUAAGGCAGUUAUAUAUAUUAUAUAUAUAUAUAUAUAUAAUAUAUUAUAAAUUUGAAGCUCCAAAAAUAUAUAAUUAUAUAUAUAUAUAUAUUUGCACUUUCUGAAAAUAUAUAUAUAUAUUUCUAUAAGCUCCAAAAAUGUAUAAUAUUAAAUAGUAAAAAUAAUUUUUAUAUUUUCAGAAAGUGGUAAACAGUUGAUUACAUUUAAAAGCGGUGAAUCAUUCACCGCAUAACACUAAUUUUGUAAUUAAAUAAUUUUUUAAAAAACUAUUUUUAUAAUUUUAAUACUUUUUAAGUAAAAAAAAAAAGAAGAAAAUUCAACCCUUGUUUCAAUUUUGGUUAGCUGGUCAAAUGGGUUUCCAGAUUUCUGCAUCUUUGCAGUCCAGGGAGGCAGAGACUUUGCCUCAAUAAUUGACCUACUUGUCAUUACACAUAUACCCCUACAAGUCCCUCUAUUCUAAUUUGUACCCAAAAGUAUCCCAUGGGUUAGUUUCUCCUUUUUGACACCGUCCUUGAAAUUAAUAGAUGUAGCCAUUACUCACUUAAUAACACUUAAAAAAUAUUAGUUUCGAAAUAAAUGUGUUCCCUAAUUUUUCUAUAAAUUAUUCUUUUGUUUUCUUGAAAAGAAUUAUGGUAGUUUAAAAUAAUGUGUCUGUCUUAGUAUUCCGGUAUGUUUUUUUUAGUUUUUAUAUAAAAAUUAAGAGUGAGUUAAUGCACAGAAGAAUUGAAGAUCUUUUGUGAGCAUAUAUAUAUAUAUAUAUAUAUAUAUAUAUAUAUAUAUAUAUAUAUAUAUAUAUAUAUAUAUAUAUGUGUGUGUGUGUGUAAUAAUUUUUGAUGAAAAAAUAAGAUAAGUUGAGCUGAAUUUUCUACUUUUUAUUAAGAAAAAAAGAUUUCUUUUUAUCUUACUCUGAUUUCUCAGGUAGACUUUCUGUAAGAGAAAAUUAUUGCUCGACCAUUGUAUCAGUAGAUUCUGCGUAGUGGUAAGUGUGCUCAAGUUCAACAUGAUGGAUAUUAUGGUGGACUGAGUAUUUAUCUGGUCUUGUUUGUUUUAUCUCUGCAUCUCCUAUAAGUUUCGGCGUUACCUUUUCUGUCUAAUAUUACAGUUUAGUCUUUUGAACAAUCUUGCUAAUCAUUCUAGCUUGCAUUAAUAAUCUAUUUUUUUCCCUUAUAAUUUGGCAAUUUUGUAGAAAAGUCAACGUGUAAUAUAUGGAAAAGUGCAGUACUAAAGUAUGAAAAUUAACUUGCAAUUUUGGGAUAAUGUAGGAAUUAUUCUAACUUGCAUGACUUUUUAUAGGGGUAUAAAUGUAAAAAAAACCCCUCCUAGUUAAUUAAUAUCAUUUAAGUAGCUGUGGGUUAGGAACAAGGUGGGCCUCAUUUAAUUUCCUGGAAUGCAUUGCAACCACCUCCCACAUGAAAGAGACCCUGAUGGAGAUUCUUGGGAACAACAAAAACCUUCUUAAAAGCUAUGCCCUAAUAAAAAAAAAUAAAAAAUAAAAAAUAAAGAAAUAAAAAAACAUGGUAAAUUGCAGCUUUGGUUCCCAAUGUUCGAGAUAAGUGAUAUUUUGGUACUCAAAUUUUAAUUAACUUAUUAUAAUUUUUUAUUUAAAAUUUUUAACUUAUCAUAAAUUAGUCUUACAGUUUAAUUUAUUUGGUUAAAUACUGAUAUUUCGAUGAUGCGUACGGCACUAACAUGUUACUAUCGCAUUAGAGGCUCAUUAUUACUAGAUCUACUAAAUUUGACUUGUAUGACUUAAAUUUUAAAAGUUUGAGCCAAAACUCGUAAUAAAUUAAAAGUUAAUAAUUGAAGUAUUACCAGCCUACUAGAAGCUUGAUGACCAAAAGUGAAAAGCUGUUGCUUAUUUACCCUAGGCUACUUUUCAAAAUUUUUAAAUUUAUCUUAAAAUUAUUAAAAUACCCAUUUAAAUUUUAAAUAUCUGAGAUUUGAAAAUAUUAGAAGAAAUUUUUGAAAAUCAAUGAAAUUACUUUGGUCCAGCAGAAAUAUAUUAGGUAUUUUUAAAAUUUUUAAAAAUAGGGUAGAUAUUAUAAAAAAAGGAAAAAAAAUAUCCUUAUCAUGUGGGCCCCACACUACAUUGACAUUUGACAUAUUAUUAUUGCUCCACAUCACAUAUAUUUUUGGAGUUUCUCCUCUCUCUCUCUCUCUCUCUCUCUCUCUCUCUCUCUCAACAACCAUUUCCUCUUCCACAUCUUGUUCAAAAGAAUCAAAACUUUCCCCUUCUCUCUCUCUCUCUCUCUCUCUCUCUCUCUUUUGCUUAACAAAAAUAGACCCAAAAAACCCACUGCAAUUUCCAUGUGCUUUCCCCAUCUCUCUCUCUCUGUAGCUCUCUCUCUCUCACCUAACAGUUCAAUAAUACACCACUGGGCCAACUCAGAUUUCAAAAUCAGUGCAAAUUCAAAUUAUCAUCAUAAAAAAAUAAGGCAAGUGGGUACUGGUUUGUUUGUCCAUCUUUGUUCCUGCUUUUUCUGGGAGCUUCAUUCAGAUGUUGCAAUUUGACAGCAAACUUCAUCUUCAAUCUGCUGCAGGAAAAUAGAAUGGCUUCUGCUGCAUACAGCAGAAGACUGAAGCUUCUUGCAAGGGAGAGGAAACCAACAAAGCAAGAUGCAAAAUCAGUGAAGAGUUUCAGUAAAAUCGAGCCGAAAAAGAUCGGCAUCGGAUUGGUUUCGGCAUGUCUUUUGGGUUUACUCACCUAUGCCUCUCUGUUGAAGUUCUUCGACAGCGAAGAUCUGCCGAAUUUUAGUAAGUUUUCUUCUUCUUCUUCUUCUUCUUCUUCUUUUCCUAGUACUUAGCCAUGUUGGCUCGAAAGGGUCGGCAUCCUGUCCUGUGGCAAAAGGUCAGGUUAAAAGUGGUGUGGGACUGGAUUGGGCUGAGUCAUGUUCGAAAUAGUGUAAGAUUGGUUGGACCAAGUCACAAUCGAGACCUGUGGGCGCUGUAUCCGUACGUUUUAAGUGAAUUGAUUGUAUAUUUUUAACGGCUAGAACUUUAGGGAUUAAUGAUUAAUGUCAACAAUCUGAUAAGAGAGUCAAAAUUCACGGAUUCGAUUUCCGUAUGCUGCGAAUUUGUACGGGUGUUAGGAGAGAUUGUUGGCCGGAGGCCAACCAUUCACUUAAUUAUUGGCUUAAAAGGGCCAGCAAAAGGCCAACCAUACGCUUUAAGUGCAUUGAUUGUAUAUUUCUAACGGCUCGAACUUUUGUAAUUAAUGGUUAGCGCCAAUGAUCCAACAAGCCAUGCCGAUGUUUCUUUUUUCUAAUUUAUUUGAUUGGUUUUGCAGCAAAUACUACUACAAUUUCAGUGACAGAUGAGGCUUCUGCGGCUCCGAUCGAUGAAAGAGGUAUGAUAAGAACAUGGUCCUUUUAAAAUGUUGCUGAAUUUUAAAGAUUCAGAUGUUUUUAAUCAGAGUGUGUUGUGUAGAGAUUGGAAUGAAAAAUGAAACUAUUGAGAGCGAAUCGGGCACUGUCGAAGAGGAUGAUUUUGUGCAGCAGGAGGAGGAGAUUACACCCUCUAGGGAAUCUGAUUCUGAUUCUUCUUCUGCAACAAAAGAUUCUUCAGAUAUUAGUGCUACAACAUCAGGUAAUUAAUUUCCAAAUUACCUGAUUUCAGUAUCUGAAAAUAAAUGUUUCAGAUUCUGAUUCUGGGUUCAUAUUUACUUGCAGAUGAAGAUAUUGGAAUUGUGGAGGACUCCUCAAAGAGUAACACCUCACAAAUAGGUAAAAAUGCCAAUGCAUUGUUUGUUUAACAGAGUAUUUUUUCCAGUUGCCAAAUUUAGUGGCGGUAUAUUUAGUUUGCCCCCAAAUUAAACCAAAAUUGCACUCUGUUCCCUAUGAAUGAGACAAUAAUUUACAUUGAGCACAGAUACUAUAUCAUCUAGGUGAUAAAAUGCAUAUUCUUGUAUAUUGGGGGUACUCUCUAAUUAUUGUAUUUGGAACUGUGGCCAAUUUUGGCGCAGUUCCAACUGCUACUGUUGGGCCUUUUCAUGCAGUUUUAACUGUAGUUAGAUUCAAACGCAUCAAACCAAACACUGUAUUUAGAUUUGUAUACAGCUCCUAAGCUUAAUUACUAGUGUUAGUUGUUUACUCGCAUGUACAUUUUCCGCAGUUCAAAAUUUUCGAACCAUCAAGCCUGAGAGUAAGAUCACUUGUGAUGAUAAGAGCAUAGAUGAGGGUUUUCCGUAUGCGAGGCCGGUAUUCUGCGAAAUGACCGGAGAUGUUCGGAUUAGCCCGAAGAAUUCUUCCGUGUUCUUCGUGACUUCGUCAGAAGGAAUUGAAGAGGAGCGUCGGAUAUACCCGUAUGCGCGAAACGACGACUAUCUCAUCCCCAAAGUCCGCGAAGUGAUCUUGAAACCAGUGAAUGCCGAUCACGAAACACCCAGUUGCACCGCGAUUCAUGACGUACCCGUGGUGGUCUUCUCCGUCUCCGGUUACACCGGAAACUUCUUCCACGACGUGGCCGACGUGCUGAUCCCUCUCUUCAUGACUUCGCGGCAGUUCGGAGGAGAAGUGCAGUUUGUCGUCGCGAAUUACGACAAGCGGUUCCUGCGCAAGUACGAGCCGGUCCUGAAGAAGCUCUCGCGCUACGAGACUAUCAACUUCGAUACCGACGAAAGUGUCCACUGCUUUCGGCACGCGUUUUUAGGAUUGAUAAGAGACAGGGACCUGAUCAUCAAUCACCACCCGACACGGAAUCCGAGGGGCUACUCGAUGCCCGACUUCACCGAAUUCCUGCGCGGCGCGUUCUCGCUCAGGAGGGCCGCGCCGUCGGUCCUCGGCGAGCAGCACAGGAAGAGACCGCGAAUGUUGGUGAUCUCGAGGACUGGGACGCGGAAGCUGACGAACAUACGCCAGGUGGCGGCGAUGUCGGAGGAGCUAGGAUUCGAGGUGAUCAUCUCGGAGGCGCGCGCGGACGUGCGGCGGUUCGCGCAGGUGGUGAACUACUGCGACGUGCUUCUGGCGGUCCACGGUGCGGGACUGGCGAACGAAAUCUUUCUGCCGCCGGGGGCGGUCGUGAUUCAGAUAGUCCCGUGGGGAAAGAUGGAAUGGAUGGCAGAAAACUUUUACGGGAAGCCGGCGCGGGAGAUGAAGCUGAAGUACCUGGAGUACUACAUUGCGAAAGAGGAGAGUAGUUUGAUGAAGAAGUAUCCGCGGAACCACAUUGUGUUCAGGAACCCCAUGGCAAUCCAUGGGCAGGGUUGGAAAGCUCUGAGUGAGGUGAUCAUGGCACAAGAUGUGAAGAUCAACUUGAGGAGGUUUAGGCCUACUUUGUUGGAAGCUAUUGACCUUCUCCAAGAGUAGUAGAAUCCUUCAAAACGUAAAACGAUAUUCGAUAUUCGCGCAUCGCACUGACUGCUAGUAAAGUUGGCAGAGACUGUAUUCUUUGAGUGAACGGCCGGAUGUUUAAUCUUCUUCAGAGCAAAAGAAGUUACGGGGGCACGGAGACAGUUGUUCUUUUAUUGAUUUUUAAAACUUUUUUAUGUAGAGAAUUAAUUGUAUUCUUUUUGUGCAUAGAUCAUUGUUAAUUUUCUAUUUUCUUUGCAAAGGGAGAUUCAUUGUUAGCAUCUGAGAACCGCGGAAAUUUUGUGACUCCCAUAUCUUUUCUCUUAUGAUGUGAGAAUCACACCGAUUUUAGCGCUUUUCAUAUAAAUCGACAUAUACAGGUUUUGAGUUCAGAUUGAAUAUUGCUCAAGAGGGCCUUUGCACUGUUGUAAUUACAAAUUCAGUUGUAAUUUAAGUUUAGUGAGAGUAAAAACAUUAGUUCUGUGAUCUUUAAUUUUGGAUUUUUUUUCAUGAAAUUUUGCUUAACAGAACUUUUUAAGGGAAAACGAUCUCAGAACAUUGCUGUGAUCAGCAGAAGAGCUAAUGUCUUUUUGCUAAUUCUUCAUAAAAACUUUUUGAUCUCUCAAUAAUAACUGCAAUUUUAGGCUCACAACAGCUGCAGAAAAAUCAUUACUGGUUUAUUUUAAGGCAAGUUUUUAGUUAUUGUGCACAAAUGUUUCAGUACAAAGUUGCGAAGCAGAUGAUUCGCUGUCGAAUCACUGCUUUAAGUGCUUGUUUGGCAUCGCUUCUACUUCUGUGUUUAACAACAGUCACCCUCCGCAGAGUACUAACAAAGAAAAAAAAGUUCCGUAUUUUUUCUGUAGCACGAAUCAGAAAUGAAAUUCUAUGUAAAAGAUCGUGUUUGAUAACACUUUGAUAUACGAUGUUUCUAAAAGCACUAGCCAGAUAACACUUCAUCUAAUAGAAAAUAUUUAUAUACUCUAACGCAGUGUCAACAAUAACAAUAAUUUGAAGGAUAUUUCUUUUUCGACGAUCCGCCGCCGCCGCUACAACCAACUAAUCGAGAUUGGGAUCAAAUCUAUUCCGUGUAAGCAACUUGUUAUUGAAUCCUACAAAUUUUCUUUCUUCGCGGUUAUUCCUAAACCCUAAUUUCCAUUAUCAUUACCCUCUCGUUUCGUAAACCCUAACUCUAAUUUCUUUCUACUAUUUUAGAAAUUCUAGCAAAGCGGGUAAGAUCCGACGAACGAAAGAAAUUAAACUAACUCGUCUGCAUGCUUGCGAUGGAUCCAAUCCUACGGAAACUCCAAGAAGUAAUCUUUUUGAAUCGUUCUCUCAUUUAAGUUUUCGAAUUCCAAAUUUAUCAUUUAUUGUUUGUAGUUUGAUUUUUAAGAAUCGCUCAAUUCGUAUUUUUAAGUAAUUCUAGAAAAUUCUAAACGGUCCUGCAUCAUAGAUUUUUCUCUUCUUUUUUUUUUUUAAUGUUUAAUGUUAACAAUGGCCCAGGAGGUCAAUUAAUGCACAACCAGGAAACUUGUGGGGGAACAAAUCCGUGACAUCUCAGAAACAGAAAAGGACAUGGCUCUUUUAAUGUAGUAACUUGGCAUUGCAAGAAAGGGGUGUAAAUGGAUCUGGAUUGAUGGACCUCCCGUCUCGACCCGCUUCGAAUGUGACAGUAAUAAAAAGUAAAAAAUAAUUUAAAAAAUAUUCCGGAUCAGUCCCGAUCCACUAAGGAAAUGGAGUGGGCGACAACGAAUCCCUUUCUUUUCUUUCUUGGAUUCAUCUUGAUCUGCUAAGAAAAUAGAGCACAAGGCGGCGGCGGCGGCAGACUGUUUCUUAUUCUACAAUCUACGAAAAAAUUGUUCCCGCUUGGGUCCGCUCCAAAUAGAGCAGUAAGUGAGAAAAAAAAAAAAUGCUGACAAAAUUAAUCAGUCCCAAAUCCGCCACGAUCCUCAAAGAAACCAGCACAGGAUCCGCCCCAUUUGCAUCAUUAAUUGAAGAUGAUUAAAUUAUGUAACUGUGGAUUCGUGCAUUGCAUGAGAUUGGACCCGGUUGAUAUAUAUAGAAAAAAAAUAAUUAAGAGGAAAAAAUAUAGAUUUUUUAAAUUUUUGGAUAAAAUACACAUUUGGUCCUCAAACUAUGAUGCGCAUAGCAUUUUAGUCCUCAAACUCUAAUUCGUUAUAAUUUUUCUGGCUCGAAUUAUGAGGCACGCUAUACUUUAAUUCUCGAACUUUAAUUAAUUAUAAUUUUCGGCUCGAGCUAUAAGACAUGUGACACUUUAGUUCUCAAACUUUUUGAUUUAUUACAAUCAAGUUUCACAACUUAAUUUCUUUGAAUGAAUAUUGAUGAAUUAGUAAAAUCGAAGUAAUGUAGCAUUUUAAUUAUUAUAUUGUAUCAUCAAAUAGAAUAUUAUUAUAAUUCAGAAAGUUCGAGAACUAAAAUAUUACAAGCCUCAUAGUUCGAGCAAAAAAUUAGCUGAAAAUAUGAAUAAACUACGCUUCGAAUUUAGGACCUCAAAUAUCAAUCACCAAACUCUUUGCCACUUACGCUAGGGACGAUUAGUUACAACUAAAGUUUGAGAACUAAAAUGUCACGUGCUUUAUAGUUCGAACUAAAAAUUUUAACGAAUUAAAGUUUGAAAACUUAAGCGUCGCAGGCAUUAUAGUUUGAGGGCAAAAAGUGUAAUUUACUCCUUUUUUUAGUUGGUCACGAAAUAGUGAUGGAAUAGUAAUGAUAUCCAGUUAAAUUCUACAAUUUAAAUUUUAUAAGAAGACAAAAUAGAAAAUUUUAGAAAGUAGACGACAAAGUAUAAAAGUGGAUGUUUAUAAGAGGAUUUGUGUAAUUUAGCCUUGUAUAUUUGUUUUUGCCGACAGAAAAACUCCGUUCCAUCAUGUAUAGGAAUGUCAACAGGUUGAACUCGGCGCUACUUUUCAACAAUCCGAACUGAACCAGACUUUUUGAAUACGUCGCAUUUUGAAAAUUCAUAUAAUAAAAAAAAGGGUUAAUUUCAUACAGGUCCCCGCAAACAUAUUGAAUAGCAAAUAUAUUCCUACAAAGUUCAACUUUCAUAAGUUAUUCCUACAAAAAUCCUUAUGUAUUCAGAUAUGUCCCUCUGAUUAGUAUCAGUUAGAAAAUUGUAAAUUUUUUAACAGCAGAGAUGUGAAAUGACUAUUUUGUCCUUGCACUUGCCCUUGCCCUUGCCCUCUUUCUCUUCCUCUUUCGAUUGUGGGAGCAUGCGGCGGCGGCGACGGCGACGGCGACGGCGACCUUGCGGAGUUUGCCAGGGUUGCGGCCAACGGGGUUGCGGAGCUUGUCGGGGUCACGGCGCUGCCGAUGCCGUCGGAAGCGCCGGUGACAACAGCCCACGCCCACACCACAACGACAACGACGAUCGGAUCAUCGACGACGACAAAGAAGAAGAAGAAGAAGAAGAAGAAAAAGAAGGAGAAAAGGAGGAGGAAAAUGAGGAUACGAAGAAAAAUAAGAAGAAGAAGAAGCAGGAGAGAAAGAUGAAGAAGAAGAGGAAGAAGAAGAAGCAGGAGAGGAAGAUGAAGAGGGGUAAAAAUGUUUUUUUAUCUUAUUAACUGACCAUAGUUAAGAUACUUAACUAUGGUUAACUAGAUUUCUCUAACGGAGAUUAAAAGUAGGGACAUAUCUGAAUACAUUAUAAUUUUUGCAGGGAUAACUUAUGAAAAUUGAACUUUGCAGGAAUAUAUCUGCUAUUCACCAUAUUUGUAGGGAUCUGUAUGAAAUUAACCCUAAAAAUAAAAACAUGACAAAAAUAUCGAAAUCUGAACCCAAAAGAAAUUAUUUCUAUUUAUCAAAUUUCAAAACAUAUCAUAUUCGAAUCUAAAUAUGACAAAUUUUAAAUUUUUUUUUAUAUUUAAUGUAAAAUCGAUUUGGGUUUGGUUUGAAUUGGAUUCAACCAGAUCGGGUGCACAUAAAAAAUUAUAUCCGAACGCGAGAUAUCAUACAUGUUUAGCGUCAGUUAAAUCAGCUCCGUUUAAUUUUGAAUUCGGAUGAACACGUUUAACGCUCAGCGUUGUUGGUGGCACCAAACAAAAUCCUGUAAUUUACGCCAAUUAAUUCAGGUGAGUAUGAGUGGCCUCCACGCCAUCAGCGUGUAGGGCUAGCAAAUGAGCAAGUCGGCUCCUGUUCGGCUGGCGUUCGGCUUGAUAUUCAGCUUAUUCGAACUCAGAUUAAAAUUAAAUGAGCCAAGCUUGAAUAGAGAAAAAAAAAAAAAAAAAGGCNCCAAACUGUUAUACUAUUAGUAGCACCCCUAAAAAUGGGUAGAUGUUCACCCAUCCAUUCUAGAGUAGGUUAAAUUUUACUAAUCACAUCGAUAUAACUAGUAAAACUCAUUUGUAUAGAGCCAAACUGUUAUACUAUUAGUAGCACCCCUAAAAAGGGGUAGAUGUUCACCCAUCCAUUCUAGAGUAGGUUAAAUUUUACUAAUCACAUCGAUACUAUUAGUAGCACCCCUAAAAAUGGGUAGAUGUUCACCCAUCCAUUCUAGAGUAGGUUAAAUUUUAUUAAUCACAUCGAUAUAACUAGUAAAACUCAUUCGUAGGAUGAGUGGAGGUACAUCAUAUGCCUUUUUUUAGGGGUGCAUGUAUAGCAUGGAUCAAGAUGGGGACCACUGGUUCUAAUCAGUAAUCCCUUCCUACAACCAUGUGCACAUGUAGAACCCUAAACUAGGGCACAGUAAAUUAUCCCAAAAAUAUGAAAAGUUUAUAAUAGAGAAUAGUGAAAUUGUCCCAAAGCAGAUGCUUCUUCCUCCCUUGAUAAUCACCUCCUCCUCCUCCUCCUCAAUUAAUCAUGUAGAGAAAAAAUUGCAAGCUCUCUAUUAGAGAGAUCUCAAUAGCCUUUUUUCACAAUGAAAAAGAGGGAUAAAGCUAGGUUGCUUCAAAACCUCCGAAUCGAGUCGCAGAAAUUUCGGUUUCGCGCGACCGUAAUCGGCGUUUUCCUGAUCACAUUGGCCUUGAUUGUGGUUCCAAAACCUGAUGCAUUUCUUUUCUCCAAAUGUAUGCUCUAAAUAUCACAAUUUUAGAGUGACAUUUUUGUAUAUAUGUAUGUAUAAUGCAUUUCAUUAUCUAUAUUCAACUUUAGUUUCUUUUAUGUGAUUGGUGUGACAGUGAGUUUGACGAGACUAGUAUUGGAUGAUGAUGAAGCUCAACUUAUAAAUUCGCGCGAAUUCGGUAUGUUUCUCAUGAUCUAAAUUAUUGAUAUUUUUACCUCAAAAGAAAAAAAACAAAUGAUUAGUCGAAAUGUAAUGCUCUUACAUAGAAUGUUUGCUACAAUUUUAAGUUCUUAAUAUCUAAAUAGAUACUUAAUUACCAAGUCUUUUUCAAUGUUACAAGGGGACAUUAAUGAAGGUGAGCAAAAAAGUGAGGAGGAGGUCCCAAAUGUUGGAAUCACUACUCUUCCGACGAAUUCGAAUCACGCAAACGACGGUACGAUUCGAAAGGAACGGAUCGUAAAUUCUCAUCAACUAGGUAAUUGACCAAUUUACAUCAAGCAUAUAUUAAUUUCAUGUUUGAAUUUGAAUUAUUCAAAUUUAAAGAACUAAUUAAUACUUUUCCACAUGCAUAUGUGCAGCUAAUGGGAGUGAAAUUAGGGUUACAAGUGAGAGCACAUCAAAUGAAAAUGUUAUGCUCCCGACGAUUUCGAAUCGAACCACUAAUGAUCCAAUUAAAAGAGAAGCAAUUUUCUCCAAGCAUUCAGGUAUUGUGAGAUGCUCUUAUGUUUUUUAAAAAAUAAUGAUAAAUUUAUAAUGCAAUUUAUUUAUUUAUUUAUUUUCAUAUUAUUAAUUAUCAGGUAGUAGGGAGAUAAGCAAAAUGGAAGGAGACAUUAGGGCUUUGAUUGGAGCAACUGAGAAAAAAGAAACAACUAAUUCCAACAAAUUAUGUAUGUUACUAUGAAAUUUUCCUUGUAAUGCUUUAAUAUUAGGGUAAAUUACAAAUACCACUCUGUAUUUUCACCGAAGUGAUCAAUCACUACAAAUUACAAUUCCACAUUAUCAAUUGCUUCAGUGUUAACUUUGCAUUUACUCGCGUCUAAUAUGCUCAAAACAUUGGAAAGAUUAUUACAUUGGUUACACUUUUAAAGGAAAAGAAUCACAUGGAUUAAAAAAAUUGGUCGAUAAAUUACAAUUUUAUCUAGUCCUAAUAAGGAAUAUCACAAAGUGCAAAAUCAAAAUUUGAUAAAAUAAACCAAAGUUUUAGACCUAUUUGAAUCUCAAUAAAAUGCAAGCUAGGUUGAAAUUGAAGCAUUUGAAAACUUGAAAGUGAUAGUUGAGUGUUGAAAGUGCAAGUGUGUCUCAAUUACUUAAUUACAUUAUAUUUUGUUAAGUGAUGUUAAAUGUUUUCUCUUGAUGUGAAGAUACUGCGAGAGCGAAGAAACGGAGGACAAAGCCGUUGUGUGAUUUUUCAUUGCCGAGAGCAGAUGUUUGUGAGAUCGAAGGUGAUGUAAGGAUUCAUGCGAAUUCUUCGUCGAUCAUAUAUGUCAAACCCGGUCGCUCUGCGAGGAAAAGAUCGUGGACAAUUAGGCCGUAUGCUCGAAAGGGGAAUGAGCAUUGCCUACAAAAUGUUCGAACACUUGUUGUUAGGUCAAGCAAAGAUGCCCCUCAAUGCACCAAGAACCACAAAUCCACGGGCCUCAUCUUCGCGAUCAAAGGCUACACCGGAAACCUCUUCCACGACUUCACCGACGUGCUCGUCCCUCUCUUCACGACCGCUCGACAAUUCGAUCGCGAUGUGCAAUUCCUAAUGACCGGAAUUCAUGUUUGGUGGGUCAAUAAGUAUCGAAAAGUUCUAGAAGCUCUCACGCGCUACCCUUUUAUCGAUUUCGAUGCAGAUGAUUAAGUUCAUUGUUUUAGUCGCGUGAUCGUUGGUCUCCGAGCUUAUGACGAAUUCACUAUCAAUCCUUUGCUGGCUCCGAACAACUAUUCGAUGGUCGACUUCAAUCGAUUCAUGCGUUCAACUUACUCACUAGAACGAGAGUCGACGACUAAGCUAGUAGGGGAUGGUAGUAAGAAGCCAAGGCUUCUUAUCAUAGCUAGGAAGAGAGUAAGGAAGUUCACAAACAUGGUUGAAAUUAUUCGAAUGGCAGAAGAGCUAGGGUUUGAAGUGGUGAUUGACGAAGUCGACGUCGGUGACGAUGUGGGGAAAUUCGCGAAGAUCGUGAACUCAUGCGACGUGAUGAUGGGUGUGCAUGGCGCGGGGCUCACGAAUUCAGUGUUCCUCCCUCCGAAUGCGAUUCUAAUUCAAAUUGUGCCGUGGGGCGGGCUAGAGUGGAUUGGUAACUUGGAUUUUGGAGAUCCAUCAAGAUCCAUGGGGCUAAAGUACAUACAAUAUAGCAUUUCAAUAGAAGAGAGUAGUUUAAUAGAGAAGUAUCCUAGAGACCAUGUGGUGUUUACAAAUCCCUUUUUGAUACACAAGAAAGGGUUUGUAGAAGUUAGCAAGGUGUUCUUGUGGGACCAAAAUGUGAAGCUUGAUGUGUGGAGAUUUAAGGGUGUUCUUGUGGAGGCACUAAAUCAUCUCACCAAAUUGAGUAGAUAAAAAGAAUUAUAAUUUGUAGACUUAGUUUAUUUUUCCUUUCAAAAAAAUAUUAGUUGGUUAUUGACCUUGUUAUUAGAUCACAAAAGUGAUGAUGUGACCUAUGGUGUAAAAUUUUGCUUUUAGGUGAUGAACACCCUGUUUGGAACCAAACAUACCUAUAACAAUUUAGAUAGUUCAAGUGAAAUGAAUAAUAAGAUUUCAAAAAAGUGGAAGGAGUAAUCCAUUUUUCCUUUUGUUUGUCUACUACUUCUUAUGAAUCUAAACAAAGGAGUUCCGAUAGAAUAGACUCCGAAAAGAAGGGCGCUCUUUGCAAAAUGGUGCUUAAUUUUAUAUAUGUGUUGCAUUUGCACUUACCUGUUUGGAAUUUAUAGAGUUAAAUUUAAAUCAAUUAGUUUUUAAUAUAAAAAUUGUGAAUCCUAAGUGCUAACCAAAUUAAUCAAGCAGAGGAAAAAAAAAAAUAACAAAUAGAGUAGGCUCUGGUACAGGUCAUUCUUUUUUUUAAAAGCUUAAACUACUAUGGUACAAAUUUUCGAAUAAUAUUCAGCAGUUUUGAAUAUAUUUGUUACUUCACAAUAUAAUACGAUCUCAAAUAUAUUUCAAAAAGCUUAAGUUGGUAGAACAAUAGUUUCAGAUGAGUGUUUCAUAUUUUAAAGAUAUAAAAUGUUCAUUUUGAAUUCAUUUUAGAACAAGGAGAAUUUUGACUUGUCCUUGAGGCUGCAAUUGGUUGGAACUUUCCACUUUUACUCUGCUCGAUAAGAAAAGUACUCAGGACCUGUUUGGCAUUAAAAGGCUCACCUAAUGCUAAUAUGUAAAAUAAAAUUAGGAUAAAAAAAUAUACAGAAAUAUACUACUACGUUUUCUGAUAAAAUAGCAGAAAAUAUACCGUAAUCGACUAAUUUUGAUAUGCAAAACGCUAUAUUACAUAUGAAAACAAACUUAAUAUUUUUUCAUCAUCCCGCAAAUCCGCAAUCCUAAACGAAGUUUCAGUCUGUUUUUCUUAUUUUAUCCUCUAUAAAAUAUUAUGUUAGAAAAGUUCCAAAUGUAAUUCUAAUUGCUAAACCGACUAUCGCUAGUACAAGUGGCAAAGGGCUUGGUGGUUGGUAUCCGAGGUUCUGAGUUCGAAUCCUAGUUGAUUCAUAUUUUCAAAUAAAUUUAUUUCUAAAUAAAAUAAACGAAGCGGGUAACGUGCUAUCUAUCUCUAAAAAAAAAACACACACACAAGAUCUAUUCGCGGACCGUAUAAAUGAUUUUUUUUUUAAUGCAUUAUGAUUUGUUAUUAAGGGAGUCUAUCCGCAAGGUGGGGGCUUGAGCUCUCAUUUUGCACCAAAAAAAAAAAAAAAAAAAAAAAAAAAAAAAAAAAAAAAAAAAACAUGGUACAGGUUUUAGGGUGUCUUGUAGUGAGAAACUUCUGGGUAUUAACAUACACAUAUAAAAACAAAAAACACACACAAGAAACGCGCAUUGGGAGUUCAAAUCUCUGACUAAAAAAAUUCUUGAUAACGACCAACUGAUCUAAAUAGUGAUGGUUAGUCUUACAGUAAGUCGUAUUAUUAAGUUACUGUUCUAUUCCUCAAAAAAGCGUGGAAAUUUUUUUUCUAAAUUCUUUUUUAUAAAAAACUCCUUUUUCCCAUUUGGUUUGAAAAAAAAAAAGCUUUUUUGAAAAAAAAAAAUCAUAUUUCAUGGAAAACUAGCAUUUUUGUUUUUUGAUUUUUUUUUUCUUAGAAAAACGAAAACAAUAGUUUUCUAUAUAAUAUGAAAAAAAUUCAUAAAAACUUAUUUUCCUUAGAUUCAAAUGGACCGAAAACUAAAAAAUAGUUUUUUUUUAUGAAAAACUCCUUUUGGUGAAAAUUUUUUUCCAUACUUUUUUAGGAACUAAACAGUUGUGAGCAUGAUUGAAUUAUUAUAGUUUUCUGAAGAUGAUGGGCUUCGUAUUCAUAAAUCAAUUGUUUUAUAGACACAAAUUAAUUAUAUACUUUUUUGACGGUUCAUAUCAUUAAAUAUAAUAUUCAGUGUUUGAGACAUAUUUAACAAGUUUACAAUUAACUUUGGACUAAAUUAUCUCAUAAUCAAAAGGUUCGAAAAUAAAUAAAAAUGACACAUUUCUUCAGAAAACUAUAGAGAAAAAUAAUUUAAAAGAAAGCAUUUUAAUUUCUAUUAAAUAUAAUAUUCAGUGUUUGAGACAUAUUUAACAAGUUUACAAUUAACUUUGGACUAAAUUAUCUCAUAAUCAAAAGGUUCGAAAAUAAAUAAAAAUGACACAUUUCUUCACUUGUUGAUAGAGAAAAAUAAUUUAAAAGAAAGCAUUUUAAUUUCUUUUAAAUUUUAAAAGAAGUUAUAAAAUCGAUUUUUUUUUUUAUGUGUAGCUUUACAGAUUCUUAAUUAUACUAAUGUUGCGAACAUCAUCUUGCGCACAAAAUUAAACAUCAAGCUAUACCAUUUUUAACAUUACUUUAUAAAUUAACCUCACCAUUUUUACAUGGGAAAACUUCAAAAAGCCCCUCGUGGUUUCGCACUUUCUCACUUUAGCAUUCUGUGGUUUAAAGUGUAUCAAUUUGGUGCCCUGUGGUUUCAUUUUUAUCUUUUCGCGUGACAGCUUUUUCGUUAAUAUUUCAUUAAAUUAUUACAAAAAACUUCAAAUACCCACCUAGCUAGGUUUAUCAAAUAUUCACUUUAGUACCCUUUAAUUUUAACUUUAUCACUGAUUUAAGAAAAAAAAAAUAGUUAAAUUGAUAAUAAAAAGAGAAAAAUGAAACCACAAGACACCAAAUUGAUACAUUUUAAACCACAAGGUACUAAAGUGAGAAAGUGCGAAACCAUGGGGGGUUUUUGAAGUUUUCCCUUUUUACAUUUUGCACGAACACAACAUGUUUUAUAUAUAAAGAAAAAAUGCUUAGGAAUGAGUGAUUUUAGUAGUGAAUUAAGUUUUAAACAAUUUAAUGGUUGAAGGGUAUAUUUCAAAAUCGUCGAUAGUCGAGGGUAUCUUCUUAUAAUUUUGCCAAAUUAAAAUUAUUAAUUAUUAAUUUCUCAGAAGAUGGUCACAUUGAAUGCGCACAACAAGAAAAGAAUAUAAAAACCCCACCGACGUUACAAGAAUAAAUGAUCAAUUAAUUUAUGUUGUUGUUGUAUGUGAUGAUGUAUAAAUUUGACUUAAAACUUAAAAAAGACAUUGUCAAAAACAGGAGUUCCAGGAAAAAUAUAUUAAUGGGGGCUUCAUAAUAUAAAUAUAUAUUGUGAUUUUUGUAUAGGCCAUGGAAUAAAUAAAUAAGAAGCAUGGGUAAGGUCACAAGGCACACAUGAGAUGUUCCCUAACCAAUGUGGGAAACACUAUUGCAUACACCAUGUCUAUAUAUAUAUAUAUAUACACUGUAAUCUCGAAAACAUAAAUUUUAAUUAACUUAAUAAAAUGUAUAUUUUUGGAUCUGUUUCUUACUAAAUCGAUUUUUCAAGUAAUAUGGUAUCAUAUAUAGUAAAAGCACCGUUUUUUGUUAGCUUAUUUUGAAGCCAGUUGAGACCCAUAUGAGCUUAAGAAUGUGACUUAUCUAAUGAAACUCAUUCAACCUAAGGCUUAAGCAUUUUAGAUUUACAUCCGUUAGUAUACAUCAGCAUUUUUACUCUUUUUUGAUUAUCUAAUGUAGGACUAUAUAUAUUUGAAUUCUUAACAUUCUUCUCUAUCUUCCACUCUCUAAGCACGGGACUGAGUUGCCAUUUUAUGGCCUUCUCAAAAACAUGUCUUUCAAGUUCUUUUUAUGAGUCACUGUUAAUCCAACUCAUCGGAGUACAUGCGCUUUAAUAUGUGCUACUCGGAAAUUCAUCUGAGCCCAUACACCUGAUCUGUGCCUUCAGACCUAGCAUUAUUGAAUGCACCAACCAUCUGAGACCAUGGAUCUAACCCGCGUCUCUCGGGCUUAAUUCUUUUGGGUGCAACAAACCGUCAUAUCGUGUCUCAUGAUUCCGCUAUGUGAAUGCGUCAUAUUAAUUCGUAAGAGCCACCAACUCGAUCGCAUCUCACUACUUAGACGAGUAGUCCAGAAUCAAAAAACUUUCAGCUUUGACGCCACUUGUUAGGGUAGGUAUUGUUAUCAAAUGUUUGAUGGACUUUGAACCAUAUGUUAGCCAAGUUGAGUCAAUUUGUUAGGUUGAUCCCUUGUCCUAUUCUCCCUCUUAUAUAUGAAAAUAUAAAGCCACUUUAAUAACUACUAAUAGGUGAGGUGUCAAUUUCCAGGAGAGCUUGGGUCCUAGUCAAACAUGAGGGCUCCAAUGCACCAUCCAAUAGAGACAAAUAGGUGGUCAUUUGUGAAUGUUAGGGUUUAAACAUACCAUGUCUAUAAUAAUGUUAUGUGACUAACUAGCUGUUUUUAGUUGCAUGCAUGGUCCUAUGGGCCAUGUGUGCUGUCCCUACUUUGUCUCCUUGAGAGAAAGUAGAGAUGUCAACGGGUCGGAUUCGGGGUGAAUUUUUAAAAACCCGAACCCGAAUCCGACCCCAAAUCCGAGACCCGAACCUGACGGAUUUUAAAAAUCCAUAUUCAAACCCGAACCCGACCAAAAAUCUAAAACCCGAACCUGAACCCGAACCUGAAAAUUUGAAUCCGAAACAAUUAUUUCUUUUUUCAAUAUUUCAAAAUAUAUUAUAUUAAAUCUAAACUUUUAAAAUACAAAUUCAAAUAUAACAUCAAAUUUAUAUAUAUAUAUAUAUAUAUAUAUAUAUAUAUAUAUUAUAUAUAAUACAAAAUAAAUUCGGGUUCGGGUCGGGUUCGGGUUCGGGUCAGAUGCAGUCAAAAUCUAUAUCCGAAUUCAUAUCUGUCGGGUUUCUAUUUUUAAUAUCCAUAUCCGAAUCCAUAUCCAUUUAGCAUCGGAUAUAUUAAUUUUAUUCGAAUUCAAGUUCAAAUAAAAUUUUGGAUAUCCAUACCCAUUGACAUCCCUAAGAGAGAGAGAGAGAGAGAAUUUGUGACAAGGGAAUCUUGGCAUUGGCCAACAAUAGAGGAAAGAAAAGCAAAGUGUGAACAAAGUUUGGAAUAUUAACAUUUCUUAAUUGUAUCAAAAAAGCAUAUUGAAUAAGGUGCAAAAGAUAUUAAACCUUAAAAAAUUCUUUUCCUCUGAACUCUACAAUGAUUAGUCACACUAAAGCUUUAUUACUGUUAUUGAUUCACUUUAGUAUUGCAUGGCCUAGUAUAACAAAUGUUAGGACAUUACACAAUUCUAAAGAGAGAUUUGAUGGUGGACCAUGUGUCCUUUUUCUUCUUUGUCUCCUCAAAAGCCAUGAAAGGAAGAGGAGAGAGAGAGGGAGAGAGAGAGUAAAUUUGUGACAUGGGAAUCUUGGCAUUGGCCAACAAUGGAGUAAAGAAAAGUAAAGUGUGAACAAAGUUUGGAAUAUUAACAUUUCUUAGCUCUCACCUCUAUCAAAAAGCAUAUUGAAGAUGAUAAAGAUAUUGUUCCCUAAAAAAUUCUUUUCCUCCUAACUUUACAAUGAUCAUUCUCUACAACUAUGAUGUUGUAGGGCAUCAAACUAGUUCACACUACUUCUAAAACUUUAUUACUACUAUUGAUUCACUUUAGUGGUGCAUGGCUAAGUAUAACAAAGAUUAGGGCAUUAUAUAAUUCUAAAGAGAGAUUUGAUUGUGGGCCUUGGCAUAGUGUUCAUCGGAUCUCUCCUUUAAGACCUAUAUACACAUUAUAGUUUCAAAAAUAAAAUAUAUAAUAAUAUAUAACAAAUCUUUUGUUUGAUGCACCUAUUUGUUUUGGCUCUAGUUUCUUUCCGAGAGAUAAAAAUCUGCUAAACGAAAAGCUUUUAUAUUUCACAUAGGGUGGGAGAGAAGCAGAUCGAUCAGAUCAAUCAUAUAAGCUCUAAUUUGAAACUUUUAUUUCAAUUAAUUUUUUGAUGAAAUAAUUACGUACCUGAGAGAUUGAAGAAUUAACAGCAUUAUUAAUUGAAUUCCAAUUGUAUAUUGAAUUAAUUAUCUUUUGUAGCCAAUCCCUUGCACAUUGUUGGAAACUAAGAGAAUAAAAGCAUAGAAAAAUACACUAAGGCCCUGUUUGGAUGCAUAGCUAAAAAACUCCAUGGACUUUUUAUUCUAUGGUUUUGGCCUAAAUGAAAUACAGAAUCCUGUAACUAUAAAAAAAUUCCACAGUUUCAUUUUUAAGCUGUUUGGAUACAAAUCAUACAAUUCCACAGUAUUUAUAACAAUUAAAUUUCUAAAAUUUUAAAAUUCAAAAUUCAAAAUUCACAAUUCAAAAUUCAAAAUUUAAAAAUAAAAUUUUAAACAUUAAAAUUCAAAAUUCAAAAUUUAAAAAUAAAAUUUUAAACAUUAAAAUUCAAAAUUCAAAAUUUAAAAAUAAAAUUUUAAACAUUAAAAUUCAAAAUUCAAAAUUUAAAAAUAAAAUUUUAAACAUUAAAAUUCAAAAUUCAAAAUUUAAAAAUAAAAUUUUAAACAUUAAAAUUCAAAAUUCAAAAUUUAAAAAUAAAAUUUUAAACAUUAAAAUUCAAAAUUCAAAAUUUAAAAAUAAAAUUUUAAACAUUAAAAUUCAAAAUUCAAAAUUUAAAAAUAAAAUUUUAAACAUUAAAAUUCAAAAUUCAAAAUUUAAAAAUAAAAUUUUAAACAUUAAAAUUCAAAAUUCAAAAUUUAAAAAUAAAAUUUUAAACAUUAAAAUUCAAAAUUCAAAAUUUAAAAAUAAAAUUUUAAACAUUAAAAUUCAAAAUUCAAAAUUUUAAAAUAAAAUUUUAAAAAUUAAAAAUAGAAAUUCAAAAUAUAAAAUUAAAUUUUAAAAUUUUAAAUUUUGAAAUUUAAAAAAUGUAUAAUUAAAAUUUUAAUAAUUUAUAAAUUUACAUAUUUAUAAAUUUUAAAUUUUAAAUUUAAAAAUUAAAUUAGAUUUUCUGUUUUAAAUUUGAAAUUUGAUAUUUGGAAUUUGAAAUUUCAAAAUUUGAAAUUUAUUGAAAUUUGAAAUUUGAAAUCAAAAUUAAAAAUAAAUUUUGAAAUUUUAAAAUUUGAAAUUUAAAAUUUUAUGUUAAAAUUUAAAAUUUAGAAAUUGAUACAUCUUUGGGAGCCCAAAAUGGUGGAAUUUUUUUCCUUUGGUUAAAGUGGAUUGUAAGUUUACUCCAUUUUUUGGAGUAUAGUAUAACUAUACUCCAAAAAUUACGUAAUUUUUUUUUCUUCCAAACGCUUCAUAGGAUUAUUUUCCUACCAGCGUAGCAUAGUUUAACUAUGCUACGUUUUUAGAGGUAUCCAAACGGGGCCUAAAUUUGAUGAUAUAUUGAUAAGGACACAGCAAAAACAACCAAUGCAUGGAAUAUUAUUAAUAAAUAAGGACAAUAUAUAGUAUGCGAAUCUAAUGCUUUAUAAACCCCACCAUUUUAAAUAGUUUCAAAAUUGGACACAAGGAAGAAGACAAUAAGAUGGUCAUCUCCAUGCCAUGAGAUCAGUGAACCACUUACUUUAAGCUGCUAAAAAGCAAAAUCCCUUGUCCAUUUCUCAAGGUAUUCAAAAAAUAGGGCUUAAUUAAUUAAGAUCAUUUUAACAUGGCACUUCUUUUCAUAUAUAUUUACCACACUGGUUAUCCAAACUAACAAAGAAUUUAUAGUUAUCAAUAUAACUUUCGAAACUUUCGCCCAUUUUGAUUCAACUAUUCAAUAUUUUAAAAGUUGAUGAGUCUUUUAGUAUAAAUUUUAGGCUCAUUACAAUUUUUCAAUGAAAGUAUAUAUAUGUAGUUGCAUAACUUAUAUAAAUAUACUAAUUAGACCCGAAGGGAACGAUGAAAUUAAUAUUCAAAUUUUAAAGUUAAGAGUCAUUACUUGAUUGGAGUCAAAUGAAUUAAAAGAGUAGAUAACAAAAUCAAGAUUUUUUAUCAAAGUUGGAUAUAUAGUUGGAUCAAAAUAGGUCAUAUAUAGUUCAGAUAAAUUUCAUACAUUUUUAUCUUUUAUUUAUAAUUAUACUUGUAGCCAGCCCACAUAUGUACUCGUAUUUUCAAUGUAAAAGCACGAUUCGAACUGGAGACUCAUUCCCAUGAAUUUUGCAGGUGGCGACUAAUUACGCACUUUGGCAUAACAAUUAUCCAAGUAGAGCUAGAAUACUUUUAGAAGCACCAACUCAUUGGUGCUUCUAAGUUUCUAGCCCUUGGAUCUACUCCCCAAUUACUAAUACCCCUUGGAUCAAACACUAUUCCACCUACCACCAUCAUCUCAACCCUACAUCUCUCCAUCCAAGGGCUAAAAACUCAAAAACAUCAACCCAUUAGUGCUUUUGAGAGUAUUCUAGCUCUACUCACAAUUAUCCUGUUGUCUUACAAAUGGCCUUGUCCAAAACAUUAUAUAUUACAAGUACAUAUAUGUCCUUUUAUGAAAUUUGCCAUUUUUCCUACUUAACAUUUUCCCACCAUGUCCUUUUCUUUUUUUGUUUCUUUCUUUUUAUUUUAUGAAGUUCAUAGAUCGAUUCAUCAUCUACUAGAUGACAAUUGAGAUGCCUACCUAACAAUGUCAUAGUUAGUUGAAAUUCCAAUAACCUUUGCAAUAUUUUUUUUGACACAUAACUAUUAUAUAGUAGCCUAAUUAGCAAAAAUUUUAACUUGACAAAUAUGCUUCAAACACUCAAAUUUCACAUAAAAUGAAACUAGAUCCAAAUUAAUCAAGGAUAUUUUAUUGAACAACUUCCACAAAUUCAAAGCGCGUUAAGAAAUGAAAAAAAAAGGUUAAUUAAUUUGAAGGUUCAAUUUAAAUCGUUCAUCACACCUUAAUAAUGAUACUAUUAAUAAUCGAUCUGUAUCCUUUUCUUUUAGAUCUAGUAAUAACAUAAAGAACUUACUAAACUUUGGAUCAUUUUGAAUUAGCAAAAUUUUAAUUUCUCUCUUUAUUUGAAUUCAGUCUUUAACUAUAAAAUUUAAAUUAGUUACUUACUUUAAUAUACUAACUAAACUGGGCAUGUUUGGUUCAUGAUUGGAAUAGAAAUGAGAAAUGGAAUUAGAUUGCUUUGGAAUGGAAAAUAGAAUGACGAAUCAUCCAAAAAUGUUUGAUUCAUUAUUGGAAUGAGAAUCAGAAUGAAAAUUUAAAAUUUUUGAGGGAUAGUUUUGAUUAAGAGAGAGGAAAGUGAUGAAAGGAGAGGAGGUAGGUGUUGAUGAAAGAGAAUUUUAAAUAGUUUACUUUGGAAUGAGCCAAUCCGGGAUUUAAAGCAGGAUUGGAUCAUAAAUGGAUUUGGCUAUUCCCAUUCCGGAGUGGAAUGGGAAUCGGAAUCCGAUUCCUAUAAAACAAACGGCAACUAUCGGAAUCAAUAAAUUCCAUUCCGAUUCCAUAGUUCGAACCAAACAUGCCACGAAACAUUCGAAUUUUUAGGUCAAAAUAUCGUUGAUUAACUCAAACGAAAUAAAUUGAAAGGUUAAAUAGUAAAAUCAAAUUUUGGAAGAUUGGAUCGCUGACUCAAAAUAGUUUAUAAUUCAGAUAAAUUAUUUAUAUUUUUACUUUUUUUUUCCUCAUGAAAGAAACAAUUACCAACUUGUUUUGUUUUCUUUUUGAAAUACUCUACAAUUACUAACAUGUGCGAAUUAAACUAAUUGGUUUACCUAAUUACAAGUUGGCGUUACUUGCUUGUUCAAAAACAACACUACUACCUUAAAUUUUAUAUAUAUAUAUAUAUAUAUAUAUAUAUAUAUAUAUAUACCUUUUGAUCAUUAGGCAAAUGAUGGCAAAGAAAAAUUUGAAUUUGAUUUUGUAAACCUUCAAGUGGUAUAGAUCAUGUUCAACGGAGCCGAGCGUCAAUUGGAAGCCUCUAUCAUCGAAAACAACUCGAUAGUAAAACGCCUGUUUACUAUCGAGAGAUAUUCUAGCUCAACUCUAUAUAAUAUAUAUAUAUAUAUAUAUUAUAUAUAUAUAUUAUAUAAUAUAUAUAUAUAUAUAUAUAUUACGGCCUUUUAACAUCAAGGAAAAUUAAAGGUUAUUUUCCAAAUAAUAGAGUUCUCCCUGUUUUUCUUUUUUUUUUCUUUCUUUUUCCCCUUUUUUUUUUGUCUACUUUGUUGGGAGUUUUCCAUAAUUGGUCCGUUUCCAUGAAAAUAUUGAAAUUUUCCGUUUAUCCCGGCACAAUUUCAUGUGAAUUGCAUCUAUUUCCACAUGCUUUUGAUUGGAUGUUAAAAUGAUAUAAUUAAGCUUUUGAUUGGACAUAAAAUGUUAUUAAAUUCAUUAUGUAAAUGUCAAUUAGGUUUAAUGCAUUUGUCGAUAAUAAUUUCUAAGUUAAGUUAUCAUUAUUUAUGGAUAUAAAUAUAAUUAAUCAUUAUUGUGGCGUGCAAAAACUAGUUUCAAACCUUACAUAGAGACAUUAAAUUCGAGUAAUGUUACAUCAAAAAUCAUUUUACAUACAUGUUACAAAAAAAAAAAAAAAAAAAAUUAAAAUUAAAAUUACGUACCAUCUUAAUAAUAAUAAUAAAUGAUGGUGAUGAUGAUGAUCUCUGGAUGAUUACAAAAAAGUAGGUGGUGAGUGGACCACGAGUGGACCAGGUCUAAACAAUAAUUGUCACCAAAAAAUUAUAGGCAAAUUGUUAAUUUCUUGUUGAUUUUCUAAUUUCAGCCAAUAUAUAUGAUCCAAUUAAUUUAGAUUUAUGAGAUUGCUUGUUGAUAUCAAGCCUUUUUAGUUUAAUUUUGGUUUAGUGCCCAAAUUUUAUUCAAAUUUAUAUUCUUAAGAUCGUGUGAAAUAUUCUCUAAUUGAGCAUUAUAUUAACUAAAUAAAAAAUGAUUAUGAUCUGUCUUUAGUUUUAAUGUAAUACUCAAUAAUUUCAAAUCGGAUAAAAAAUAAAUUAUAAUUAAAAAUAAAAGGACCAGAAACUCCGGUAAUAACAAGUGGAUUUAAAUAUUUUCAUCCGCGGUUUUGGCUAACGAGUUAUUAGUGCUACUAGUGAGUUUGGGCUAGCAGAAGUAUGCCAUGAAUCACAUCAUCUGAUGAUUUUGAAUUAGAAAAUGGGACCUGAUGGGAACGAGCGAGAUUCAUCUCAUAUCGCCUUAUGAUCUUGGACUAAACGAUGAGACCUGAUGAUAAAGUUAGGGUCUGAACGGAGGACCAAAAACUUUAAUACUAAUAAUAACAACCCGACUUAGAAUUCUUAGUACUAACGAAUUGAAUCGUUACACGUCUCUAUUGCAUUAAGCUCCUAAGACCAUAUCUUUCUUAAUCAUGUGUAAAGUCCUCAUUUGGCAAAAGGGAAGGGGGAAAAAAAAUGAUGUGUGAAGUUCCUAGAUCUUUCUCAAUUCACCCUCCCUUUAUUCCAAUGAGAAGGUAAUGAAGACAAUGUUUUCCACAACCUUUUUCUUUUUGCCUUUUUAAUUUGUGUGGUCCAUAUUUUGAUAGGAUCACCCAACCAUGCACUCAACCAGAUUCAUUCAAUUAAAAGGAGAGAAAAAGUAACUUGACUUGGCCCAAAUUAUUGCGCACUCAAACAAAAAGUUCUAUUUCUUUGAUGAGUUACAUGUAGUAAUGAGAGUACAACUCUUUAAAAAAGUAAAUUUCCAAUUUCAUAUGAUAAAAAAAAGAAAAAAAGAUAUAUUUAUCUCUUUUACAUCUCCCUCCUUUUAUUUUGUACUGCAUUAAAUUUACGAGCGCUACCAAAAUUUCGGAAUCAAAUAUCUGCUUGAUGGCAUUGUACUGGAAUGAAUGUUUAAAUUUACACUUACACACUUAACUGUUUAUUCUCCAAUAUACCAAAUCAAAUGAAAAUUUAAAUUUUAAAAUUUUAAAUCAUCAAAAACCAAAAUAAAAAAAUAAUAAAUAAAGUAAAAGAGGGAGCUCAUGGUCCAAUUAUAUCCACCACCACCACCACACACCAACCAGUACUCCUAUAUAUUAUAUUAUUAUUAUAUAAUUUAUUCUAGUGCAUGUGAGAAUGGGGUAGGAGCUUCAGAGCCUGUAACAGGGUCUUUUUGAGCCUACCCAAAUGAGGCCUCACAUUUUGCUUAUCUAAGUAAGCUGUUUUAAUGGCGGUCCACCCUUGCUUGUGGAUGGAGCAUGGGUUCUUCAACACUGGGUGAUUUUUAGGGUAUUGCUCCCUCAAUGUGGUCUCAUCCAACUUGAUCUUGUACUCCAUGUAGUUGAUCUCCAUAUCCUUAGUCGCGUUACCAAAUGUUCCCAUUGUUAGCCACUCUAACCCCCCAAACGGCACCACCUGCGUCGACCAGUACAAAAAAAAAAUGUUAAAACAUCGUUCUCUAACAACUUCAACUUUAAAUAACAAUAAUUUUAAGAUAAAAAAAUAGGAUAAAAUGCCCUCCAUCUAUAGUCCUUUGAUAUAUAUAGACAUUAUUGGGGAACUUUUCACUAUACUUUUUUUUAAAAAAAUAUGUAUAUAACUCAUCUGAAACCAUUUUGAAUCAGCUGCUCAAUUUUUAAAAAUUUUGAUUCAACCCUCCAAUCUUUUAAUUUGCUUUAAAAUUUGAAUGAAUCGGUCAUCUUUACAUAUUAUAAGUAAUAUAAUUCAUUCAUUAUAGUAAAUAAUUAAUUUAAAUUUUGAAGUCAAAGUUCAACGGACCGAAAUUUUGUCAAUUCAAAAUAAUCCACAUUUCAAGUAUGACCCUAUAAUAAAUUAGGAAAGUCUUUUUUGGCCCGCUAUCCCUUUUAUUUGGGUAGGCAGCAGGUCGCGAUUUUACAGCCCUAAAAUUGAUAUGAUAGAAAACAACUCAGGAAUGAAUGAAUGAAUGAAUGAAUGAUGCAGACAAGCGCAGGUACCUGAAUGAGGACGGCGCCUGCGGGGAGGAAGACCAUGUUGGUGAGGCCGGCGCCGUGCACGCCGAGCAUUACGUCGGCGGAGUUGACGAGCCGCGCGAACUGGCCGACGUCGGUGUUCACGUCGGGCUCGCCGAUCCGGACGUCGAACCCGAGGCUCGUCGCCAUCUCCACCAUCGCCCGCUCGUUCAGGAACAUCCGCGUGUUCUUCCGCGAUAUGAUCAGCAGCCGCGGCUUCCGCCGGAUGUCCCACCGGUCCCCUCCCGGCACCGCCGCCGCCCUCUCCAAUCCAAACGCCUCCCGCAGCAUCUGCCCGUCCAAUAUAAAUAUUAAAAACAUCAUUCUCUGAUAUCUUAAAUUUGAGUCCGGCUAGGAUAUUAUCCAUAGCACCAAGCAUUUGAUGCUAUCGAAGUUUUCGCUGUUACAUCUAAAAGCCAAAAAUCUAAUAGCACCAAUAAUUUAGUCCUGUUGAUAGUAUUCCGACCUAGUUUCUUAAACUUUCGUACUAUUUAGAUAUAAAUAUACAUUACUUAUCUGAGCAUGAAUCAUUCAAAAUUUGAAUUGCCAACUAUUUACUUUAGUAAAUUUAUAAUUACCAAAUUCAAAACUUCCAGAACAGUUUAAGUUCUGUAAGUUUUUCAUCCGUUAUUAUUAUUUAACAUGGUAUCAGAGCAGAGUAGAGCACAACCUUUCGGAACUCGACGACGGAGUACCCGCCGGGCGUCUUCGAGGCGUUGACGCCGAGCUCCUUGUGGAAGGCGGGACCGGCGACGAGGCGGGGGAAGCAGCGGACUUCUUCGUCGGCGUCGACGUCGACGAUGUCGAAGUUCGUCAACUGCUUGAGGAUCUUCUCGAACUUGUGGAUCCACCACGGCUUCACGUCGGUGACGAGGAACUGCACGGCGCCGCGGAAUUGGUACGCGGAGAUGAAGAUCGGGACGAGGACGUCGGUGUAGUCGUGGAACAGGUUCCCCGUGAACCCGCCGGUGGAGAACAGGAACGCGGGCACGGACUGGUUCACGGUGCACGCGGGCGGGGGCGGGGGCGGGGGCGGCGGCGAUUGGCCGCGCGGGAAGGGGAGGAGGGCCCACUCGCUGACGUGGCGGAACGCGACUGCGUCGUGCUUGCGGGCGUACGGCUUGAUGCGCUGCGCCCGGCGCAGCGGGCGCACGUGGACGGUCUUCGACCGGCCCGCGACGCGCACGUCGCCACGCGCGUCGCACGUGUCGGAGCGGCGGCUCGUCGCGUGGCACGUGGCCUCGCCCGAGUCGUCGUCCUCCUCCUCCUCACCAACCUCAUCGAUGAUGUUGAAGUUGUUGUUGUUCUCGCUCUUGGAUUUGGUUUCUAUUUUUUUGAUCUCCUCGUAUUCUGUGAGAGAAAUUUUGUUCUUUUUUUUAAAGAUUAAAUAAAAUUUAGGGGUUUAUUUGUAGUUUUUUGUAGCAAUUUUGCUUUUUUUCUGGGAUUUUUUGGUGAGGGGAAAAAAAAAUUGUGGGUGUUAUUAUUAUUUUGCUUUUUUCCAUUUUUUUGGAUAUUUUUUGGGUGAAGAAAAAGAGGUUGAGAAAAAAAAAAUAAUGAUAAUUAGAAUAGUUUAGAAAAAAUUGAAUGAGUUAUCUGUAAAUUUUAUUUUUUGCUUUACUGGAAAGUAGUUUUGAUUUUGUAGUAAUGAUUAUAAUUUUUGCACCAAUUUUGCCAAUUAUUGGAACUAUGAUUGUUUUCAGUAAAUAAAUUGAGGUUAAUUUAGCUAAUUUUUCUAAGUCCACAUCCUCUGUGAACCACAAAAAAAAAAAAAAAAAAAACUAGAGAUAUUUACAGAAAAAUUUGGGAGUUAUAUAUUUUGUAGAAUUUUAUUUUUGAGAAGUAUAAUAGGCUUGAUUUCGUAGUACUGCUAACAAUUUUUUGUCAUUUAUUUGGUGUAGAAAUCGCAGUAAAAUUUGGAUAAUUUUGUAGGAAUUAUCUUGAAGUAUUUUUUUUGGGGGGGGGGGAAUUAUUUUGGGGAAAUUUAUAACACAAUUAAUUAGCAAAUUUUACAACAAAUUUUCCUAACUUUUGGGAAUUUUUGGUGAAGAGAUUAAAACUGUGGAUGCAUUUGAUGUAUUAAGCCAAAUUAUGAUGAAAUUGAGGUAGAAAUAGCAGAGCAUUGCAAACAAAUUUAAUUUUUAGGGUUAAAAAAAAAAAAAGUUUUUUUAAAAAAUAAAUUAUUGUUCAUGUAUAAGGAGACGGGGAAUUAAUUAAUUAAUGAAGAUCACUAACCUUUUAUUGCUGAUUCAGAAAUUUUUCUCUGAUCAUCAUCUGUGACCAUCAUUAAACUCUCCUCCAUCUCUACCUCAAAUUUCAAAGGCCCUUUUGAUUUUCCUAAUUAUAAUAAUAAUGAUAAUGGUAAUGAUAAUGCUUAACAUGAGAGUGAUGAGAAAAGUGAAUUAUCAUAGAAUAAUAAUAAUAAUAAUAAUAAUAGGAAUAUGUAUGUGUAUGUAUGUGGAUGUAUGUAUAUGCAUACCAUAAGGGGUGGAGCAAAAUCGAGCCUUGAUGAAGGAGAGGGCACAAAGGGAGAGGAGCAUGGAUGCUAUGAUGAUCAUAUUCCCUAUCCUUCUUGAGUGAUGAUCUCCACCCCUUGCAUGGUUCCUUUGGGACUUCAUCCUUUGCCUCUCUCUCUCUCUCUCUCUCUCUCUCUUGUUUUCUUUCUUCCUAGCUUUCCUUUGCUCUCUCUUUCUUGGUUCCUUCCCUUUGUGUGUUCUCUCUCUCUCUCUCUCUCUCUCUCUCUCUCUCUCUCUAGAUCUUUCUCUCCCCCUUGGUUUUCUAUCUCUUUCCUCCUUCCUUUAGCUCUCUCUCUCUCUCUCUCUAGAUCUUCCCCUUCCCUUUGCCUCUCUCUCUCUCUCCCUCCUUCCCUUUCCCCUCUCUCUCUUCUUCCCUUUGCCUCUCUCUCCCUCUCCCUCCUUCCCUUUCCCCUCUCUCUCUUCUUCUCUUUGCCCCUCUCUCUCUCUCUCUCUCUCUCUUUCUUCUUCCCUUUCUCCCUCUCUCUCUCUUUCUCUCCUCCCCUUUACCUCUCUCUCUCUCUUCACUUUGCUCUCUCUCUCUCUCCCUCUCACUCUCUUUCCACCUGCCUUUAGCCUCUCUCUCUCUCUCUCUCUCUCUCUCUCUUCUAUUUGCUCUCUCUCUCUAUUUGUUUUAAGCUACCACUUUCAAGCCUUUGAAUCUUACAACUAAGUUGGGUCCAUUAUUAAUGGGAAUGUGGGGGGUAGCAGCCUAAAGUUGGCUAAGUUUGCUGUUCUCAUUUCAUGGUUGACUAAGUUAGAACCACUGCCAAAUUAACCAUGUACCAAUAUGUGACCAUUAUAGGAUAAAUUAACUUUUUGAUCCCUAAAAAAUAUGAGACGCGUGAUAUUUUAUUUCUCAAAUUUUAAUUUAUAAUAAAUUUUUGAUUCGAAUUUAUUGAAUUAUUUUAAAGGUAAAUUUUUAAAUAUCACUCCUGUAGUUUCGCACUUUCUCACUUUAGUACCAUUUGGUUUAAAGUGUAUCAAGUUAAUUAGUACACUGUGGUUUCAUUUUUUUCUUUUCGUCAGCUACUCCGUUAAUAUUUCGUUAAAUUAUAUAUAAAAAAUUUCAGAUACCCAUCUAGAUUUAUCGAAUAUUCACUUUAGUACACUUUAGUUUUAACUUUGUCACUGAUUUAACGAAAAAAAAAAAAGUAAAAUAGAUAAUAAAAAUAAAAUAAAAUCACAGACUACUAAAUUGAUACACUUUAAAUCAUAUGAUACUAAAGUGAGAAAAUGUGAAACCACAGGGGUGGUAUUUCAAAUUUUUCAUCAUUUUAAUUAAGUUGUACAACUUAAUUUAAUUCGCUGAGCAAUGAUAAUUAGUGAUGAAGUAAAGUAACAUAUUAAUUAUUAUGAAAGCAUCAAUUACAAUACUUUACAUUAGUUUUUACAUCAAUAAUUUUUCAAUAUUUUGCUUAUUAAAUUAGAUUAUAAAACUCAAUUGCAAUAAUUCAAAAAAUUCAAGUUAGAAAUUAUAUAGAGUCUGGCUACUAUACUAUAUAUAUACAUAUAGAGUCCGACUACUAUACUCUUAUGAGUACGAUCGUCCUCAUACUCAUAAGUUGUUUUCAAUGAUAGAGCUUCCGAAUCGACAAUCCAUACCGUUAAAUAUUAUUUAGAGCAUUUAAAACUUCUAGAAAUCAAAUUUCAUAAUUUUUCGACAUCAUUUACCUUACGAUCAAAAGGUCACAAAAUUGACAAUUUUUAACGGCCGGUGCGGGAUACUGGCUAGUUUAACAGUGUAAAAGAAUUGGAAUAGGUAGAAAAUUCUAUUUACUACCUAGAUAAAGAUCAAUAACUCCGAUCUUAAAUUAAAGAAUCCGAUCAUCCAUUUUUAUGAUGUCGUUCAAUUUUGACUGUUUAUUUUAUACCCGCUUGAUAGACUUUUUUAUGAUUUCGAAAAAUUACGAAAUUUAUUUUCCAGAGGUUUCAAAUACUCUAAAUCAUAUUUAACAGAGUCGAUCUUCGAUUCGGAAGCUCCAUCAUCGAAAACAACUUAUGAGUACGAAGGGCUCUAUACUUAUAAGAGUAUAGUAGCCCUACUCUAUAUAUAUAUCUAUAUAUAUGUAGAGUGCGUUUGGUAUGCUUCUGGAAGCACGGAGCGCUCCGUGCUUCCAAGUUGUUUUUGAUGUUCGGACUUUCGAAUCGACGAUCGCCUCCGUUAGACUUGAUCUAGAGUAUUUGAAGUAUUUAGAAAAUAAAUUUUGCAAUUUUUCGAUAUCAUUUGGCUAGUGAUUGAAGUCGCUCAAAACCAACAGCUGAAAAUAAAAAUUUUACAAAAUAUGAUGAUAUGAUAUUAAAAUUUUAUAUCAAAGUUAUUGAUCUUGUUUUAUACGGUAUAAAGAAUUUCUAUCAAAAUUUCAUAUGAUUUGGAUAUUUCUACACCGUUAAACUUGCAAACGGCUCACCACGGCCAUUAAAAUUAUUGAUUUUAAGUCCCUUCGAUCACUAGGCAAAUGAUAUCAAAAAAUCACAAAAUUUAUUUUCUAGAUACUUCAAAUACUCUAGAUCAACUCUAACGAAACCGAUCGUCGAUUCGAAAGUCCGAACAUCGAAAACGAUCUAGAAGCACGGAAGGCUCCGUGCUUCCAAAAGCAUAGUAGCCUCACACUAUAUAUAAAUAUAGAGAGAGAAAGAGAAAGUUGAGCUAGAAUACUCCUAAAAGCACCAUGUGAGUGGUGCUUUUGAGUUUUUAGCCUUUGGAUGGAGAGAUGUAUGGUUGGGAUGAUGGUGAUAGGUGGAAUAGUGUUUGAUCCAAGGGCUAUUAGUAAUCAAGGAGUGAUCCAAGGGCUAAAAACUUAGAAGCACCAAGAGAUUGGUGCUCCUAAAAGUAUUCUAGCUCAAUUCUAUAUAUAUAUAUAUAUAUAUAUAUAUAUAUAUAUAUAUUAACACAUUAAAUAUGGGAGUACUUGGCAUGUGGUUGCUAACCAAGAAGUAUCUAGCUAGGCAUGCUUUAUUUUAAACUCAUUUUUCAUGUGUACUUCUUUUUACUAAUAUUCAAUCUUGAAAAUACUUUACAAUAUUUAGAUGUAUAAAUAUCUUAUUCCAUAUAUCUCUUUAAUUUACUUAAAAAUUUUAAAUGUUUAGUUGAUAAGAAGUGUGAUCAAUUGUUUAAAAUAAAAUAUGAGAUUUGAAUUUGUUCAAAAUAAAAUAAAUUAUUUUAUAGGUAAAAUAUGAUGUUAUAUCAAAUCAUAAUAGUAAAAUCUUUGAAGAUGCAAAAAAAUCAAACUCCUUAUUUAUUAUCAUAUUAGAAAAUUUUAAUAAAACUUUAAUAAAAAAUAAGUUAUUUUUAAAUAACUUAUGCUAAAAUCCAAAUUAACAGGACCUGCGAAGUAUGGGAAUUGAACAUCAGUCUUCGUGCAAAAUUUAUGAAAAAUAGGAAAUUUCUAUGAAGCCACCAACAACUCGCAAAUAAUAAUAAUUCGUUAGCUCCAGAUCCAAACCAACGAUUCAAAAUACUUAAAUCCAGUUAUUAUUAUUAGCAUAUAGGUCUCAUAUAUAUUCUAAAUAGAAUUAUUUUUUCAUUUAAUAUGGAACUACUGGAACGUUACAGUGUAUUUGUCGAUGCAUACGGAUUUGAAAAGAAAAGAAAAGAAAGAAGUUUCCACAAGAACUCAAAAUUGUUACUCAGCUUACCUACCUAACCUACUAAAAUAUUCCUAAUACUAGAAGCUUAAAAAGGUCAAAUGUGUGCGUAAACCAAAAUAGUUUUGUCGUAGUGGCGUAGCAGCGAAACUAGAAGACUUUUGCUUCUUCUGCUGUGACAGAUACCGAACAGAGUUUACGUAAUUAAAGACAUAUAAUUUUUUUUUUUCAAAUAAUUCUACUUAAAUAAUAUUUUUACAGAAUAUACAGUUUGGACGUGUAAUUAUUUAUAGAAAAAACUUCAAAAGCUUCUCAUAUGGUUUCGUAUUUUUUAUUUUAGUAUUCUGUAGUUUAAAGUGUAUCAAAUUAGUACUAUAUGGUUUCUCACUUUCUCACUUUAGUAUUCUGUGGUUUAAAGUGUAUCAAGUUAGUACUCUGAUUUUAUUUUUGUAUCAAGUUAGUACCUUAUAGUUUUAUUUUUGUAUGAAGUUAGUGCCCUGUAUAAAAACCACAGGGUACUAAAGUGAGAAAGUGCGAAACCACAGGAUACUAACUUGAUACACUUUAAACCACAGGGUACUAGAGUGAAAAAGUGCAAAACCAUAAGGUACUAACUUGAUACACUUUAAACCAUAGGGUACUAAAGUGAAAAAAAGUGAAACCACAAGGGGGUAUUUGAAUUUCCCUUAUAUAUAUAUAUAUAUAUAUAAUUAAUACUAUAUAGAGAGAGAGAGAGAGAGAGGAGAGAGAGAGAGAGAGAGAGAGAGAGAGAGAGAGAGAGCAGGACUGCUGUGCUCUCAGGAGCACGGAGGACUCCGUGCUCCUGAGCCGUUUUCGAUGAUGGAGUUUUUGAAUCGACGAUCGGCUCCGUUAAACUUGAUCUAGCGUAUUUAAAGUUUCUAGAAAAUAAUUUUGCGAUUUUUCGAUAUCAUUUACCUAGCAAUCGAAAGGAUUCAAAAUCAAUAAUUUUUAACGGCUGAAAAUAAAAUCUAUAAAAGUGAUGAUAUAGCACUAAAAUUUUCGAUCAGAAAUAUAGAUCUUGUUGUAGAUAGUAUAAAGAAUUUUCUAAUCAAAUUUCAUCUAAUUUGAAUACUUCUACACCGUUAAACUUGAAAACGGCAGAUAUCAACCAUUAAAAAUUAUGGAUUUUGAAUUCUUUCGAUCACUAGGAUAAUGAAUAUCGAAAAAUCGCAAAUAUAUUUUCUAGAAACUUCAAAUGCGCUAGAUCAAGUCUACGGAGCCGAUCGUCGAUUCGAAAAUUCCAUCAUCGAAAUGGCUCAGGAGCACGGAAAGCACAGCAGUCCUGCUCUAUAUAUAUAAUAUAUAUAUAUUAUAUAUAGAGAGGUCCGGCUACUAUCCUAUUAAUAGGAUUGGGACCAUUGUCCUAUCAAGUCGAUUUGAAUGAUCGGAACUUCAAAUUGAUAAUCGGCACCGUUAAAGUUGAUCUACACAAUUAGAAAUGUUUAGAAACCAAAUUUUGUAACAUUUAAAAAUUACUAUCAAAUUCAUCUUAAGAGUUGAAAAAUGAAUGGUCAUAAAUGAAUAAUCUUCUUAAAAUAAAGGUUAGACUUUCUCAGUUCGUAAUCAGAGUUAUCAAACAUUAUCUAAAUAGUAUAAAGAAUUUUCUAUCAAAAAUUCAAGCAAUUUGGAUUGCUCUACACCGUUAAACAAGCAAACGGCUCAUAUAGGCCGUCAAAAAUUGUCGAUUUUACAACACUUUGAUCACCAUAUAAACUAUUAUCAAAAUUUAUGAAAUUUAGUUUCUAGAUAUUUCAAAUACUCUAGAUCAACUUCAACGGCUCCGAUCAUCGAUUCGGAAUCUCGAUCAUCAAGAACAACUUGAUAGGACAAGUGCUCCUAUCCUAUUAAUAGGAUAGCAGCAUUAGCCUAUAUAUAUAUAUAUAUAUAUA